rnacentral:lncRNA from 1 species
UUGGACCUAUGUUAGAACUUCAAAUUUGACAUGCUAUAUGGAUGUUGUAAUUCUUUCAAAACAUUGGUAAACUCACAUUCAUGAAAAAUGUGCUAAAAAAGAGCUCCAAAGGUAGGGUAAACGGCCUCAUUUCUAAGCAAGAUUUUUUGAACUUGUCUAAAUGCGCCAAAUAACUUCCGUACACAUAUAUUCUAUAUACACAAACUAUGUGCGCUGAUUUUUCCUUUUUUUGAUUUUUUUUUUUAAAAAUUUGCUCAUUUAAUUUCUAGUCAAACCUAACUUUGACCAAGAUUUAAACAAGUCUAAAACAUCAACAUGAAAAACUAAGCCUGGAUCCUUCUUAGUCACUCCAAAAUGAAGCUCAUCAUGUUUUAGUUUUAUCGUUUUUAUUUUGUUGCUUUUCUAUGUCGUGCUUGCCAUGUCGUGUCAUGCCGUGUCCUUGGACUUAUCUAUCUAUGUAGGGUACCCAUCUAUGUAAGGGUAUGAUGUGCUACAUCUUAUCAAUCCAAGUUAUUAUGUGUGUUCAAAAAUGUUUGCGGCCAAAGAUAUCAUUUCUUCUCUAAACCAAGUUAUGAACUAACAUGCACAUUUAUUCCCUUCAAAUCCUAAACCAAGUGCCACUCUAACCACAAUCAUGUGGCAAUGCAAACAUAUGUUUCCAACCCUCCAAAAGUUCUGUGCAAAACAAAGGAAAACCACUCUCACACGUGUGCAAACAUUCAGUACAAACAUGCGUUUUUAAACCCUAAACCAAGUCAGGUCUCACUAUGUAUAGCUUCCUUCCCAAGCCAUGUCAAAGUCUUUCCAUCUUCCCUAGCGGUUACCAGCGCAGCCCUAAACGCCACAAACCCAUGCGGUCCUGGGUUUGAGUCCCAGUCGCACAUAUUUUUCGUGCAUUUUCCACCCAUCAUUUUUUGGACAAAUUAUUUUUUCUCAAUGUAAUGCCCUUCAAAAAUGUUCAUUAAUUUUGGCAUCAGGUGUAAACCUCUACCACAGCUUUGGCACAUUUUCCAUGACAUUUUUGUCUUUGAUUUAAAUCACGAGGUAUUUGAAUUGGAGUAAUUAAAUUGUUUAAAUAUUUAACAGCUCCAAAAAAAUUCUAAACUUAAUUGUUUGGCUCUGGAAUAAUUAAAUUAGCUUCCAAAAAUAGUUUCAGCAUUAAAUAAAAUGAACUACUGCCUAAAUUAAAUCAGAAUAGAAAAAGAAAAACAUGCAAGAGAUCUCAUUUUCCCACCCCGGAAUGGGCCUAAUUGGAUGCAGUUGGCCCAUUAGUCUAGCCUUCACUUGGCUCUCCGCUCUGAUUUGGCCCACAGAGGAACCUUUUUUGACAGAAAGGCAGAGCAGAGAGCUGCAUUUCAUCGAUCAAAGUUUCUGAAUUUCUCAUUUCUUCUUCCUUUUUUCAACAUAUUUAAAUGUUGCUCAUUUCUUUUCUCUUUUUUCAACAUUUAAACAACUUUGACCAACAUUUAAACAAGGUGAAUUUCUCAUACAAUUUCAGGCUUACAAAUCCCUCCAUAAUUCAUGCCUUUCCAUACAAUUUCAACAUUACACCCAGUGCGAUUACCAUAGCUACAAAUGCCCAAAAGUAAUUGCAAAUGAGUAUUUGUGCUUGAUCUUCAAACUUCCUAACCUUCUUAUUCAGCAUCCUAAGCUCAACAGCUAGCUCUCUGUCAGUGUGUGGUUCGCCCUCCAUCUCUUCUUCCGGAGCUCGUGCUGCGGCCACUACCAUUCGUGGCAGCAUGCGCAACCAUUCUUCAUGCUCUUCUUGUAGUUCAUUCAUCAGAGUCUUGGCCAGAGCAUCGACCCAAAGGAAGAAACAUUCCACCUACAUGAAUGCCAAACAGAUCAACCCAUUGCUCAAAGAUCCCGACCACGAAAAUGGUGCAAUUGCCCCGAUUCUUACCCCAUUCUCGCUGCACACGUAGAACAGACGAUUCUGGUUCCUUGAUGUGUGAGAAACCCUCCAAUCAACGGCCUCCCGACACCGCAGAUAGACGAAGAUAGGCAUCUCCACGCUCGCCGGGCUCUGCAUCCGCCAGGUGCCGCGGGAGCUUGAAGAAGACAUGGAGCUCAGAGCCGAAGGGGAUCUCAACGCGGCCGCACCCUCCACAUCUAUCUUCCCACCGCCGCUCUCUCUGUCUCCAUGGUCACCACCGUGCUCUAUCUCACCCGCUCUCUGUAUCGCCGUGGUCACCGCCGCUCUCUAUCGCCCGCUUAUAUAACACACCCGCAACAGCUCUCCGCUCAACGGCUCUUUGUUGGGUCCCACAAGCCACGCGUGCAACAGUCUGAUUGUCUAGCGCAUCUCUGCCGCCUGGUCCCACCUGUAAGAACCGAGUCAAAAGGUUGACCUGACGGAGACGACAAUUUUCAUGGAACGAGUUGGUGCGGACACACUAGGGGCAAAACUGGGCAGAAUUCACAACUGAGGGCGAAACUAAGCAAAUGGACACCACUAAUGGCAAAAGGAUAAUUAACCCAAUUUUUUCUGACAUGCAUGAACAUUUUGCUAGUUAAAUUUAUGGUCAAAAAUUGGCACAAAUUACAAUGGGGACCAAUAAACCAAGACGAAGGUAGUACUUGCAAAAAAUCACCAUAAGUUUCUAUGGUAUUUUGAGUUCAUAGAUAUUGAUUUUCUGAAAAGUCAAAACAUGCACAAAACGGUAACUGGCUCUGUGCACUUAAUUAAUAGGUUCAUCCGGGAAAAAUUGCUAUGAAAGGUAUUGAAAAGUGAUAUUAUAAUAUCAUGAAAUAAAAAAUUAUCGAUAUGUUUGAGAUAUAUUAGUGCCAUAAAAAUCUUACAGUCGAAUCGCACCAGUAACGUAUGCAAUUUGUCGUGGCUAAUGUACACGUUUCUUUCGGGACGAAUCCAUAGUUUUCAUGUCAGCAUCCCACAAAACAGUGUUAUUCUUCUUCCUCUCCUCUCGUUAUCUCGACACCUUUAUCAUCGCCAUUGUUAGCUAGCCCCCUCGUGUUGUGGCAUUCUAUUUUGCAAUACAUACAAGAAGGCAUAAUUAAUAAAACUCACCGCAUCAUUGCAUUAACCAGUUAAAUCAAUAAACAUGUCUAUGCACAUGAGCAUUCAUAUUCAUAUAUUCAUGUGAAUUGGGUAUUUGUAUUGAAAUGGGUUAUUCAUGGUUGUUAUAUCAUCUUGGCGCAUUGCAUUGUAUGAAGGUGUUAAUACGUCCAAAAACAGUCAUGUCUUCUUCUACCUUUAUGAUGUCUAUUCAUGUCAUUUUCACCGGACAUUCAUAGGCGCACACACCUGCCCGGUUGGGCCUCACCGCACAAUUUUCUCACGAUACACAAACUCGUUUGACUCCUCAUAGUUCCCUCCAUGGUUUGGGGUUUUAUCUUCUGAAACUUAGUGAAUUUAUCAUUCAUUCCUACCAUGUUUUAGCAUGUGUAACAUAGUGAAGUUGUAAAAACAUGGUAUAACAUAUUCAGAAGUGAUUUUAUUUCAAUGCCCUCAUCACUAGGACCCAAUAUGCAAAUGAAACAUAAAUUGCACUUUUGCUUCAAAAGAUAUAUAAUAUAUUCAAAUUGGAAGUCCAAAUAAAAAGCAUGAGUUGGGGUCGGUGCCCGCACAUGUGUGCCACUAUGUGUCUUUUUUAUUAGUUACAUUACUUUGUUUCCAAUUUUGCUGCCAGAUAUGACAAUUUAUAUCGUCUCCCUUUUGAGAAAAGUCAAAGAAUGACGACAAUAAAUAGAAAAGCCUAAAUAUAAAAGAAUAGGAAGACAAAGAAAUUCAUACAAAAUUACACUCAUGGGGUGUAGCAAGAGGGCACGAUAGGGCUUGUAGGGCCCACCACUACUAGGAAAAGGCCUACUAAUGGCGCACCGGUUUUGCCUACUAAUGGCGCACUACCGGUGCGCCAUUAGUAGCAUGCCAUUAGAAUUUUUUACUAAUGGCGCACCACUGGUGCGCCAUUAGUAUCUGGUAUACUAAUGGCGCACCAGCCAGUGCGCCAUUAGUAUGUAACACCAUGCGCCAUUAGUAUGCCUCCUAGGGGGCCAUAUGUAACCAUGUGCUUUGUCACACUAGUGGCGCACUCUGCCACGAUGCGCCAUUAGUAUCCUUUGGCAUACUAAUAGUGCACUCUGCCUUGAUGCGCCAUUAGUAUGAAUAUUUUUUUUUGAUUUUCUGAUUUUUGCAUAGGUUACAAAAUAUAUUAUUGGACAGAAUAUAGACAGCAGCACACAGCAACAUCAGAUUCAUCGAAUACAAUAGAAGAUUAGUCUCCGAAUACAAUUCAUCAUAUUAGUCUCCAAAUUCAAAAGACCGAACAAAGAUAAAACAUUACAAGUCUCAAGACCGCGAGUAUCGAGUUUGUCUUCACAUUACAAGUUGAUAUCGAUCAUCUAAACUACCAUCACAUAAAAGAGAGUUGUGGUCAUCACGAUGAGCAUCAUCGCGAUCAAACUGCUCCUCAUCCGGUUCCUCCAACGCUCCCUCCUCUCUCCCGCUAGAUAGCGGGCAUAUCUAGAUUCGGCCUCCGCCCUAGUGGUGUACCCUUUGUAACUGUUACCGCUGAAAUGGUGAACCUGUCUCCGACACUCCUCCCAGUCGUCGUAGACUCCGAGAACCUUACCCUUGUAAACGACAUACGACAACAUCUCUAUGCACAAGCCAAACAACAGAUAAUACAUAAGCAAUAUGUAAGUAUGCAACAAAAGGAUUGAAAGGGAAAAGCAAGACAUUAAUAGCACGAUUCAUGGUCCUACUAAUAGAUAGCAUCGAUUACAUCUAAGUUGAACGACUGUCCAAACCAAAGAGACAUACGAAUUCAUUAAAGUUUAAUUACAACAUGAGCUAAUCAAUGUUUCAGAACUACACAUCACUACUUUCGACUCGACUCAUCGGACAGGAGCGUGGAUGAAGCCGCCGUCUGUCGUGAUGGUCAUGAAAUUGCGGUCGUUGUCACCCUGCAUUUGUAGCGUUUCAUCUAUCUCACUGUUGGACGGUUGAUAUCUGACGAAGAACUGCCCCGAGGUAUGAAGGACAUCUUGAUGGAUGAUGUCCGCAAACUCCAACUGGAUGCGAAAGAAUUCUUGUCUGAGGUCCGCGUCCUGGACUGCCGAUAACCUCGCGGCCCAAUCUUUGAGAUUAUCUGGUAGCAGAAGUUGAUGAUGGUCCCUUACGAUCACCCGCAUGUGAUGGAGGGUGUAGUAGGCAUCCUUCUGACCGCCAGGCGGCGGCUUGACACAGCAGAACUUCGUAUUGUGUGAGAACAUGUGCUUGCCGUACUUACGAACUGCCCUGGUGAAGGUGCCUCCAGAUUUGGCGUAGCCGGGGAAAACAUCAUCAAGAACUUUCUUGACAUUUGUGUAGUCUAUCUUGGAGUUACGGUUCGGGUCGAAAUACGUGGCCAUGGAAUAUUUCGGGCUUAAGAGGAUGAGUGUGCAACGUGUGUCACUGCACAGAACACGGAAUGUUAGAAAAAAAAGAACGAUCAAAAUCUAAGAAAUCAUAUGUUACGGGGCGGUUAAGGGAUGACUUACUCGGGAAAGUUAGCCACAAGGAAGUUAUCCUUAUCUGGGUUUGCCAGAAUGACGCCUUCGAGGUGUGAACUCGCAACUUGGCGGUCCCCAGCGCUGUUCAAGUGCUUGGCACGCAUGUAGAAGGGGUCGACUAUCACGAUGUCCGGGGUCUUGUCUCUAAUGAUCCGCAUCUCCAUACUCAGCGAAAACAGCCGAACGAAUGUGUAGUGCAGCGGAUGAAGGUUAAACAUAGCAAAGAUGUCAUCAAACCGCAGGACGAUCGUACCCCCGAUGUCGCCAUCCGCAAAGCCCUUGCCCUCUGGCACCUUGGCCACGAAAACCGGGUAUGCCACAUCAUUCUCUCUCAGACGCCGCUUCUCCAAAGAAAGAACACUGUCGUGCAGACUCCGCAUAGCACCGGUUGUAGCAUUUAGCAUAUUUGGCGGUAGCAUCGCCCUACCCACCACAUGCACCCUCCUCGAGAUAUCCUUAGGUGAAGGUGGCCCGUCCUGAGCACGGAUCGAACUCGGUGCCGGCUGGCUCGCACCGGCGCCCUUGUUAGUCUUUCAUUUCCGUCCCUUCUUCUUGAUCUCCUGUAAUGGGACCGAGUUCUGCUCACAGACCGCUUUCUUGAGCGUGUUGGGGCUGAUAAUAUUUCGCACCUCAGCUAUCUGAGGCUCGGUGAAGGCGGGAGCUGGAGGCGUCUCCUGAGAACUGAACGGCAGACGACGCCUAUUGCAAUUGGAUUUCUCCGCCGUACCAGCUAGAUUGCGGUCGUCUUGGUUGGGUUCUUGAGAAAGAGGCCCGCAGAACUCGUCAGCGUACCCAUGUUCGGCAAAGUACUUAUCGACUUUGGUAAAUGUACCGUCGUCGUUGUCGUCGUCGUCCGGAUCCUGUGCCAUAGGGCUGUCUGGAUCCUAUGCCAUAGGGAUGUCUGACAUAGGGAUGUCCGGCAGGUCCGGUAGCGUUGCGGCGUUCUUGCCAUGGCUUGGCGCUGGCACGACUGGCGGUCUUGUUUGUCGGGUGGUGUCCCCCGCCCCCAAACGAAUCUGACUCUUCGGCCAAAGCAGCGGCCAGUUUACGCAGGCGCUGAGGGUCAUCUCAUCUUCUUCGUCGGCCCCAGCGGAUCGAACCGGAGGUAACAGCUCGUCGCAGCCUAGCAGCACCCGAACCACUUCAACCCUAUACACUAUGGGUGGCAUCGGAUUACCGUGGAACAUGCGAUUGCCCGGUUGAACGAUUCUGCCCUUGGCGACAUCGACCAACUCGGCGCCCACGAAGUGCAGAAGAGUGCAAGGAACGUCGGCGGUGCCCUGCGAAAACAUGUACAGGGCGUCAGGGAUGCCCAGUCAAAGGCAAGGAGAUGAAGUCAUCGGCCGAAAGGCUUAGUUACCGUGAUGCCAUCGAGCUCGGCUAAUGUCGAGGCACCGCCAACGGCGGGCAUGCAACUGACGGAGGGGGAGCUUGCUGGCGAGGUGCCGGUCGGCGUACACCCGGGUGCAUUAAGCUCCAAUGCCCGUGCCGGCGCCGGAGACACGAAUACCGCCUCCGCCGAAGACACCAAUGGCGCCGCCGCCGGAGACACCAAUGGCGCCGCCGGAGACACCAAUGGCGCCUUCUGCGUGUUGUGCGAGUUGCUGGCCGUGAAGCUGGGAACCGGGGGAGGCCCCUGUUGGCCGCCCGCAAUCCACGUCGUCAGCCCAUGAAUCAACGUAGGCACCAUGGCGUUGAGCUUCGUUCCCAGUUGUUGUUCCACUUUCUCUUGGACAAGCUCCGGAAUCCGUGCCACUUGUGCCUUGAGUGCUUCAACCUCGCACGUCUGGCUUUCCGAGCUGGCCUUUUUCUCCUUCCGCACACCACCGGUAUAGUAUGACCCCCUUUUUGUGGACAAGCCUUUGCCGGCCACACGACCAGCUGACGUCGGCUUAGUGAGCUUAUCCUUGCUUUUCAUUAUGUUCAACGCCCUAUUUAAAGGGCUGUCGAAAGGGGAGCUCUGAGACGACCCCGCGCUACUACUUUCAGUUUCCUGCGAAAGGAACGUGAACCAUUUAGAAAUAUUGGGGAUUAGUUAGAGUGCAACCAUAUGGAGCUAAUCACGCGGGGGUGUAUUCCUUACCAGAACAAGCUCAAGCGCCCUGGUCUUCGGAUCCGUGGUAAGCUCCUUUGUUAUCGGGUCCUCCUUGUACCGGGCCCUGACAUAGUUCCUGGUCUGCUUGUUACCGCUGUAUUUCUCGAAGAAGGGCGAUAGGCCUUGCUCGGCACGCUCCGCGUCCUCCUUGUCCCAUAUAGGCUCUGCCACUCUGUAACCGCCGGGACCGAGUUUGUGUUCCACUAAGUUCAACUCCCGCAUUUCUUUCCCCCACUGACUUGAUUCGGUGGUUGCACUGCUCUCGCACUUUAUCUUGAACUCCUUGUAGUCAUCUUCGCUCAUCAAAGGAUAUUUCGCCUUGAUCUUCUCAUAACUAUCACCUUUAUCAAUCAUUCUCCUCACCGCGCUUCUCCAAGUAGAUAGGGCCGUGCUCAUCUUCGUGAGGGCGGCACUGUUCACUUUAUUCCCUGAGAGGCGUGUGUUUUGAAAUUCGGCGGGGAACUUGUAUCAUUCGUGCAGCUUCGUGAAGAGGAGGUUGCGCAAAUUCCCUCAGUCCUUAUGCCUAAGGUUCUCGGUGUUGAUCGAGACGGUGCUCCGGAGAAUGCACCCGAGCUAAACCGAGUACCCCUUGACUAUAUGUUUGGGCUCCGUUGGAUUCCCGUCGGAGUCCACUUGAGUGAAUUCCUCCUUGAGGGUGCGGAGCGCAUUCGGGCGCCGGUCCUUGCUUUGCUUCUUCGGUUGGCUGCCAUCUGUGUGUGCGCCGCCAUCAUCAGUGGUGGCAUCCUCGGCGGCACCAUCAGUGGUGUCAUCCCCGACGCCACUAGGGGUUUUGUAAUCAGUAUCGGUGUCUUCCGCGACGUCCUCAUAGCAGUGAGGUUGUUCCUCCAUCUCUUGGGACAGCUCCCAGAAUUGCUUGCCGCCCGAACCGCCAGCCUCAUCAUUGUUGGCCAUGUUUCGCUUUAAAUAGGAAAACAGUUUGGUCAAAAAGUUGGUUAUUGUCAAGGAACAAGAUCAUGGUCUCAUCAUUUAGGGUUUGUCGAUAGCGAGGCAUCCUAAAAGCUAAACUUUUAUCAUUUAGGGUUUGUCGACGCCAAGGCACCCUAAAAGCCUAAGCCGAGGCACCCUAGGUUGGGCCUAAUCACUUGGCACUAAUCACUUGGCUCUAUUGCUACCUAUGGUUUAAUGCAGCAAGAAUGGCGGGGCAUUUGAUCCUACUUAACUAAGUACUAAGAUACCCCGGACCAUGCAUUAGUCGCAAGUACCCCAUAUGUCCUAUUUUUAGCAAAGUCAUGCUAAAAUUUCGGCAUGACCUUUGCUGAAAAUAGGACAUAUGGAGUACCCGAAUUUGCCGGAACAGAAGUUAAUCAACAUUCCGGCAAACUCAAGGGCCACUCGGGGUACCUGCAAAUUCAUCACGACACGAUGGUCGGAGACAAAACCCAGCAAACUAGCAAGAUGAUCAUCAUCUUUGCAAGAUAGUAGCUCAAGGUUUUGACAGUAGCCUCUGAAGAAAACAACAUUGCAACAUUCAAGUUCACAGGAUAAAAAAAUCAUCCACAUUCACCAACCCACAUGAUGUUAAAAGCCACAUGAGCUGUAAACAGACUUAAAAAACCCACAUGAUGUUAUAACUGUAUACACUGAACAUGAUGAUACCAAAUGGGAAGGAAAAUUGUAUCACUCUAGAUUAGUGUAGCCACUAUCUAACAAAACCAGGAUGUUAACAAAAUUACACCAUGAUGGCCCCUUACGAAGCUUUGUAUGGAAGGAGGUGCAGGACACCGUUGCUAUGGGAUGAAGUUGGAGAUCGUCAGUUGUUUGGACCAGAUUUAAUUAAAGAGUCUGAAGAUAAGGUUAAGCUGAUUUGCGAUAGACUCAAGGUAGCCCAGUCCAGGCAGAAGAGCUAUGCGGAUUCUAAACGCAAAGAGAUAGUUUACGAAGUCGGAGACAGAGUAUAUCUUCGUGUGUCCCCACUUCGGGAAGUUAAGCAUUUUGGAGUUAAGGGAAAGUUAGCACCACGUUUUGUGGGACCAUACAAAGUUUUGGAGCGUAUGGGAGCGUAUGGGAUAAAAUGACUUCUCCGAAAUAAAGAAAUAUUGGAGGAAAAAUAUUAAAAUCAAAUAAGAAUUUUAUUCGGAGUUUUAUUGCUAUUUCAUUCGAAGUUGGAAAAAAAUGUGUUUUUCAAAAUUGCAUUAGAGGCCCAAAUAAAUGUUCACUUUGUCUGCAAUAUUAUUAGAGGAUCGUCAAAAUGUUUUUCAGGAUUUGUGGAGUCCGUUAAGUAUUUCUUUGAUUAGUUUUUCUACGUCGGGAUUAUUUAAAAAAAAGUGAAUCGACCUAACCGGGCCGUGUCCGGCUAGGACUCCCGACCCGGCCGGCCUUAUAAGCCGCCAGCCCACCCCGCCCCNNNNNNNNNNNNNNNNNNNNNNNNNNNNNNNNNNNNNNNNNNNNNNNNNNNNNNNNNNNNNNNNNNNNNNNNNNNNNNNNNNNNNNNNNNNNNNNNNNNNNNNNNNNNNNNNNNNNNNNNNNNNNNNNNNNNNNNNNNNNNNNNNNNNNNNNNNNNNNNNNNNNNNNNNNNNNNNNNNNNNNNNNNNNNNNNNNNNNNNNNNNNNNNNNNNNNNNNNNNNNNNNNNNNNNNNNNNNNNNNNNNNNNNNNNNNNNNNNNNNNNNNNNNNNNNNNNNNNNNNNNNNNNNNNNNNNNNNNNNNNNNNNNNNNNNNNNNNNNNNNNNNNNNNNNNNNNNNNNNNNNNNNNNNNNNNNNNNNNNNNNNNNNNNNUGCCACUCACCGCCGCCGCCGCCGCCACCGCCGCCACUCGCCGCCGCCGCCGCGCACAGCCCCGCCGCCACUCGCUGUCGGUACCCUCUUGAUCGGCGCAAUGCCAAAACCAUUAGGGGGCUUCCUGAUCAUAUUUGAAUCCUAGUUUAUCCCCUUUUGGUCCGGAUUACUGAUCGAAUUCGAAUCAGAAGCCUCGCCUUUUCUCUCUGUUUGACUUAAGUUUUUGAAAACAGUCUUUUGGGUUUGUCUUGAGACUUUUUGCUCAUAUCUGAAGCAUAUAUGUGUGGUUUCUAUUUAACCCGGCUCGACUUUGGAUGAUAAGUCGCCAGCAUAUGACAAUAUUAAUACUUGGAAGGUUUGGCUUCUAAGUUUUGGGUUAUCACCCUUACUGCACAGGUAUCAUAAAUCGGCAGUGCGAUUCAAUAUCACAGGUAUGAUAUUGUUUAUACAUGAUUAUGUUUAAACCGGUCCUCACUAUGGACUUUAAGUCGCCGGUAUAUUUUGGAUUGCGCCAUUCGAAUCAUGCGCUUAUCAAUCAUUGGAUUAUUGCCCUUAUUGGAUACGGCGAUGUAAGCCGGCAGUAUGAGCCAAUUUCUACAGGUAUGUUUUCAUGAUUAUAUAAAUAUAUGAGGUUGGAUAACCAGCCUUCGCUGUUGACGUUAAAUCGCCAGUAUGUUUAGGCUUGAAUGGCCUUAAUCCUAGUCUUUUCCAUAAUUUCAUAAAGAUUAUAUUAUGUUUGGGUUGUUACCCGCCCUGGCUUUGACUGUAACACCCCGAGUUCGAUGCGACAGGUGUCUGCCAGUUAUUUGCCGUUGUUGCCAUGUCAUUUGCUUGCGUGUUGCAUUUCAUCUUGUCAUCAUGUGCAUUGCAUUGCAUACGUGUUCGUCUCAUGCAUCCAAGCAUUUUCCCCGUUGUCCGUUUCGCGAUCCGGCACUCCUAUGCCCUCCGGCAUUCCCCUUUUUGUCUCUCAUUGUGAUUGGCUGUUAAAAUUUCUCGGAAUAGCCCGAGGCUUGCCAAGUGGCCUUGGUAUAGCACCGGUAGACCGCCUGUCAAGUUUCGUGCCAUUUGGAGGUCGUUUGAUACUCCAACGGUUAACCGGGUAACCGUAAAGCCCCCUCUGUAUUUGCAGCCCAACACCACUUCCAAAGUGGCCCAAAACCAAUAUAACUCCUCUCCAUGCUCUCGGUCGUUCGAUCACGAUUGUGUGGGCGAAAACCGCUCCUCAUUUGGACUCUCCUAGCUCCCUCUACCUAUAAAUUAGUCCACCUCCCUCGAAUUUGCGGAUGAAGCCCUAGAUCUCCUCCCUCUCCGCCGCCGGACAUGUCCGCGUCGCGCCAGACAUGUCCGCCCCGCCCGCCGCAGCCAAUCGGCAAGCGCCACCUGUCCCCGCCGCCGUCCUGCGCCGCCCGGCCCGUCGGGGCCCGGAUCCGACCCACCGUGGGGCGAAUCGGGCCCGANNNNNNNNNNNNNNNNNNNNNNNNNNNNNNNNNNNNNNNNNNNNNNNNNNNNNNNNNNNNNNNNNNNNNNNNNNNNNNNNNNNNNNNNNNNNNNNNNNNNNNNNNNNNNNNNNNNNNNNNNNNNNNNNNNNNNNNNNNNNNNNNNNNNNNNNNNNNNNNNNNNNNNNNNNNNNNNNNNNNNNNNNNNNNNNNNNNNNNNNNNNNNNNNNNNNNNNNNNNNNNNNNNNNNNNNNNNNNNNNNNNNNNNNNNNNNNNNNNNNNNNNNNNNNNNNNNNNNNNNNNNNNNNNNNNNNNNNNNNNNNNNNNNNNNNNNNNNNNNNNNNNNNNNNNNNNNNNNNNNNNNNNNNNNNNNNNNNNNNNNNNNNNNNNNNNNNNNNNNNNNNNNNNNNNNNNNNNNNNNNNNNNNNNNNNNNNNNNNNNNNNNNNNNNNNNNNNNNNNNNNNNNNNNNNNNNNNNNNNNNNNNNNNNNNNNNNNNNNNNNNNNNNNNNNNNNNNNNNNNNNNNNNNNNNNNNNNNNNNNNNNNNNNNNNNNNNNNNNNNNNNNNNNNNNNNNNNNNNNNNNNNNNNNNNNNNNNNNNNNNNNNNNNNNNNNNNNNNNNNNNNNNNNNNNNNNNNNNNNNNNNNNNNNNNNNCCAGCCUCCUCUGCCCCGCGGGUUCCCAUGCCCGGCCUUGCCGAUCCUCGCCGCCGCGGGUGGCCGCGCCGCCCGGCCUCCUCCGCCCCGCGGCCGGAUCCGCCCCUCUCCGGUCGCCCCGGCCCCGUCUUCCCCGCCUCCGGCCCCGUCCACUCCGGCGAGAAGACCGGCGAACCUCGGGUUCCGUGCCGAUCUGGAUCUGGAAGGUUGACCUCCCCCCCCCUCCGUUUGCACUAACUCCCCAGAUUCUGUAAUUUUCAUGCCAUGUUCGUCAUGCCGUAUCUUUGCAUCCGUAUCUCUGUUUAGUGCGUGUAAUAUGUCAAAUUGUUCGUCUCAACGAGUACAUCAUUUCAUUGCUUUGCAUCAUAUUCAUUUGAGGUCAUCUUGAUGCCUGAAUCAUCGUUGUAAGAGUGCUUCAUGAUGUUUUCUGCUGCCUGUUAACAGAACGAGCUCUUUUGUCAUUUUUUCCAUGAUUGAUGUGUGCAUCCUAUGAGGUUGAUGUCUAGAUGUGUUUUGAACUAUGCCAUGUCUUCUUUACAGAGGUGCUUACCAUGUAUUUUUGUGAUCAAUGUGGUGACUAGCACAAGCAUGCAAACUAGGCGUCGUGAUGUUACUGAUUUUAGUCCCUGUUCUACUGUUGUUUUGAUGCCAUGUAAACUUGAUGCUACAUAGAGAUCCAUGCAUAUUUUGAGAUACUUCAGUAAGGGUGUUCUAAACAUGUGGUUAAUGUCUAUCCAUGCAUGCCCUUUGUUGCAAUUAUGGAGUAGUCUAGCAUGUCAUUUUUGUGCUCUACUUUUGCUUCAAAAUGUUUCCUGGCAGAUUGUUUACAUGUUAUUCAAUUUGGCCAAGCUUGCUAUAGUUGAUCCUUGCAUGCUAUGGACUUGUACUUGCCUUGGUUGGUUGCACAAACAUGUCUUCUUGAUGAUGCUAUGCUUAUCUUGUCAUGCAAUGGCUUGUGGUGAGUGAAUCGAGCUUGUUAAGUAGUGUUCAUGAUGUUGCUGUUUUGCUAGGCUGAAUCUGUUAUUUCGUGAUGCUAUAUAAACCUGCUCCUACUAGUCAUUCUAUGCAUAAUCUGGAGAUGCUCUAUAAACAUGUUUUGAUCUACAUGUCAUCCUCUAACCAUACAUACCCCUGAUUGCAUUUAUAGCUUGCUGUAGAUUAUUCAUAUCUUGCUCUAAAGUUGCUUCAUAAUGUUGCUGUCAGCCUGUUUACAUUAAGUUCACUUGUUCCCAUGUGUUUUGCUAGUGUUCCAUGUACCCUAUGACCUUGCUCUUGCCAUGCCUAGCUUCUCAAAUAUGCCUUCUUACUGUUGGUUGCCUUGCCAUGCCAUGUAUUGCUCUGUAGUGAGUUGCACAAGCUCAUCUACAUGCCUUAAUAAUUAUGUUUCUGCCAUGCUUGAAUCUGUUUAAUAACUUGCUAUGUUUACAUGAGCGCCAUCAUAUCUUCUGAUCCUUUUUGGCUUAUGGUCAGUAAGGGACUCUUGAUCUAUGCAAUUAGUAGAUUCAUGCCAUGCCUUUGUUUGUCAUAAUAAGUUCCUGUAACAUGUCGUUUGAUAGCUCUAAACAUUGCAACCUGAUAUUAUUUUCUGCAAAGUCUGAAAUUGUUAUAACUUGCAAUCUUAUCAUGUGUGUUCGAGCAUGUUCUAGUGAUUUAUGGAGAUAUCUCAGUGUUCAUGUUUUGUUAUGCUUUACAUGUACUUCAUGCCCAUGCCUUUUGUUAUUAUAUUGUGGUGUUGUAGCUUGUUGUUUUGAUGCUUGCAAUAUGCCUAGUUGCUGUUUUGGACAGCUUGUCCCUUUAAACUUGUAUAGUGUGUGUGUGUUGCACCAUUGCUCCGUUUUGAGUGUGCUCUAUAUCAAACUUGCUUGAUUUUGCAUGUACUUUCAUAUUAUCAUGUUGCAUCCUUGUUUUGAGGUGUUUUCUUGAUGUUUGGGUGCAUUUUGCAUAAAUGCCAUGUUUAACUUGUUUUGCUCAUAUCUUCUAGGCCGUAGCUCCGAAUUAAAUGAACUUUAUAUGUAACUUGACUAGAAUCUCGUGUAGAUCAUCUUUGUGCAUCUUAACUUGAUGUUUAACUACUUGAACAUAAGGUUUAUUCAGAUCUGGACCAAUUUCGAAAUAUGCAUAUGAGGACUUACCGGAAUUGUUAUAUGUUGUUCCCGGCCUCAUUUAAACUUGCCUUAAUGUGCUGCUCUUGUUUGCAUCAUCUCUUGCCAUGAGUAGCUUCAUUUAGCUUGGUCAUGCAUCAUGCUUGUUCGUGCAUCAUGCCUUGUUCAUGCGUGGUGUGUUUACCAUGUUGUGUGCUUCUUUUUGAUAGUUCCUGUUUCGUUGCGAUCGUGAGGAUUCGUUCGUCUACGCUUGGUUCGGCUUCAUCCGUUCGUCUUCUUCAUGGACUCGUUCUUCUUCCUUGCGGGAUUUCAGGCAAGAUGACCGCUACCCUGGAUCUCACUACUAUCAUUGCUAUGCUAGUUGCUUCGUUCUAUCGCUUUGCUACGCUACCUAUUACCUGUUUAUCAAGCCAUCCCAAAUUGCCAUGAACCUCUAACCUUUGACACCUUUCCUAUGCAAACCAUUGUUUGGCUAUGUUACCGCUUCGCUCAGCCCUCUUAUAGCGUUGCUAGUUGCAGGUGAAGUUGAAGAUUUCUCCAUGGUGGACAGGAUUUUGGUUGGGAUAUCACAAUAUCUCUUAUAUUAUUAAUGCAUCUAUAUAUUUGGUAAAGGGUGGAAGGCUAGGCCUUUUUCCUGGUGUUUUGUUCCACUCUUGCUGCCCUAGUUUCCGUCAUACCGGUGUUAUGUUCCCAGAUUUUGCGUUCCUUACGCGGCCGGGUGAUUUAUGGGACCCCCUUGACAGUUCGCUUUGAAUAAAACUCCUCCAGCAAGGCCCAACAUUGACUUUUACCAUUUGCCUCACCACCACCUACUUUUCCCUUGGGAGUCGCUCUCUCAAGGGUCAUCUUUAUUAUAGCCCCCCCGGGCCAGUGCUUGUCUAAGUGUUGGUCCGAACCAGAGCCACUUGCAGCGCCACCUCGGGGAAACUUGAGGGUUGGUUUUAGUUGUACGUAGUGUUCAUCCGGUGUUGCCCUGAGAACGAGAUAUGUGCAGCUCCUAUCGGGAUUGUCGGCGCAUCGGGCGGUCUUGCUGGUCUUGUUUUACCAUUGUCGAAACGUCUUGUAAACCGGGAUUCCGAGUCUGAUCGGGUCUUCCUGGGAGAAGGUCUAUUCCUUCGUUGAUCGCGAGAGCUUGUCAUGGGCUAAGUUGGGACACCCCUGCAGGGUAUAAUCUUUCGAAAGCCGUGCAUGCGGUUAUUGGCAGAUGGGAAUUUGUUAAUGUCCGGUUGUAGAUAACUUGACACCAGAUCCGAUUUAAAAUGCAUCAACCGCGUGUGUAGCCGUGAUGGUCUCUUUUCGGCGGAGUCUGGGAAGUGAACACGGUUUCUGGGUUAUGUUUGACGUAAGUAGGAGUUCAGGAUCACUUCUUGAUCAUUGCUAGUUUCACGACUGUUCUGCUUGCUCUCUUCUCGCUCUUAUUUGCGUAUGUUAGCCACCAUAUAUGCUUAGUCGCUGCUGCAGCCUCACCACUUUACCCCUUCCUUUGCCUUUAAGCUUUGCUAGUCUUGAUACCCAUGGUAAUGGGAUUGCUGGGUCCUCGUGGCUCACAGAUUACUACAACAACAGUUGCAGGUACAGGUUAUGCGAUGAUCAUGACGCGAGAGCGAUGCUUGCUUGUGUUGAGUUCUUCUUCUGCUUCUUCGAUCAGGGGAUAGGUUCUAGGUCGGCAGCCUGGGCUAGCAGGGUGGAUGUCGUUUGAGUUUCUGUUUGUGAUUCAUCCGUAGUCGGAUGAUGCUCUUAUGUAUUGUGAUGUUGUAUUCGUGUGGCAUUGUAUGCCUCUUGUAUGUAUCCCCAUAUAUUAUCUAAUGUUGAUGUAAUGAUAUCCACCUUGCAAAAGCGUUUCAAUAUGCAGGUCUAUCCUUGGUGGGACCUUCGAGUUCCUUUUGGAUAGGGUCGCAUAUUGGGCGUGACAUUGACGUUAAGUCGCCGGGGCAUAUGUCGUUUAAACUCUAUGCAGGAUUUGCAGAAAUAUGACUUAUAUAAUUGAUUAAGUUCAAGCUCAUCAUCAAAAUGAUUACCCGUUCUGGAUUUUCUAAAAGGCUAUAAGCCGCCGGUUUAUAAAAAUUCCGGCUUACAAUGGAGGCGUAUUAAAAUGCCAUCGGCUAAGAGCCGUCGAGUAUUUAAACUCCGGAUUUACUUGUCAACCGAUAAGUGUUAUGAUUGAGGUUUUCAAAGUUGCUUUAGCGCAAUGGCUAUUAGUUUAUCAAUGGAUACGAUUUAUUCUACAAUGGAAGGAGUAGUCCCGAGUCGCUGCAGGCUUACGACCCAGCAGUUGGGGGCUACAUUACUCAGAUUGAGAUUACAUCAAAUAUGCAAGUCCCAUGUCACUGCCAUCAUGCACCAUGGCACUUGGGGGCUAAUGCAAAGUCAUUUUUUGGCUCCACUUUACUGAAGAUCUGACUCAUCACAUUGUAAUGAGCCGGCCCUUGGGGAUUACCAAUUGCCCCUAUCAAAAAUUCAAGGUACACAAGCCUUGGUCCAUUAUAUUGAAAGAUCCACUACUUAGUUGGUAGAGUACAAAGCUCUUAAUCUCUUAUGAACGUGGGUUCAAGCCCCUGGAGAUUACAUCAUAUGAUGUUAUUAUCAAUGAAUUAUAUACAAAGUCCCAGCUCAGUAUUAUCUUACUGAGCCGGCCCUUGGGGGCUACAUGUUGCUGCUCAAGUCUACAUGAUCAUAUUUAAAAAGUCCCUGCUCAUUAUUGCAUAAUGACCCGACAGUUGGGGGCUACACUGGUUGAAUUCUUUAUGAGCAUAAGGCAAUUACAAGUCCCAGGUUGCUGCAAGCAUGACAACCCAGCACUUGGGGGCUGUAGGUGAUAUACAUAUAAGGGACAAAAAUCUUCAAAUUCUCAGUUUUGAGCAGACAAUAUUGACCCGGUGUCUGCAACAAUCAUGACCCGGCGUCAACAAUGAUUAUGACCCGGCGUCGGCAACAAUUAUGACUCAGCAUCAUCUAUUUAUAACCCGACAAUUUUGGUAAUCAUAAAUUGGCAAGUUUCUAAAUCUUUAAGCCGACUAAAAAUCAGAUGAGUAUUUCAAGACCAAUAUUUUUGUCAAGUCAGAGCAUUGAAGGCCGACUCAAAUGGAUUAUUUCUUAUAAUAUUUCUCUACAAGAGCCAAUGUCAGCAAAUUGACUAUGAAGCUGGCCUAUUGACCCAGAUUUUUCAGAAGAAGUGCCCGGAUUUUUUGCAUUGGCAAAGUUUGAAUAUAUCUUCUAAAAUAGAUUUUCUAUGAGAUCAUGGACACGCUUCCAGGAGGAAAAUAACAAGGAAUUUAGGUUGAUCAGGUGCCGGCUUAUAAGAACUCUUAACUCGGAGCACAACCUGUCAAAUUUGUUCUUGAGUUAUUCCGCAGGAUGAGUUUCACAUGGAUAAAUCCAAAUUAAAUUGGGGGCUAAUGUCGGGGAUAUACCCCGAGGUAUGAACUGGCCAGAAAUAUGACCCGACCGGACUUGGCGGCUCACCAGAGACCCGGCUGACACUUGGCGACUCACUGGUCUGACGAAACUCAUGAUCCUGACGACUCACUAAUGGCCCCGAUGGCGGUUCAUAUAGAGUACUAGGCCCAAGGCCCAGAAGGCCGGCUCAUGUUAUGAUGGGUCGGCUUAAGAGGAAAGCAUAAGAAAUAUUCCCUUACAAAGGAAGCAAGACUAGGACUGCACUUGUAAUAGACUAAUCCUAAUCAUACUAGGACUAGUCAUGUAACCCGCCCCUUCAACUUAUAUAAGGAGGGGCAGGGCACCCCAAGAGGGACAAGCAAGAAAAUAAUCGCUAAGACUAGACACAACUAAAGGGGAGCCGGCUUAUGCAGCGACUCCCUCAUGAGCAUAAUGAGAGGCGUGCAUGAUGACAUAAACCUAACCUUCUCAGCUUUUUACCAGGGCAUGGUGAGGCCAUACCAUGGCACCAUACCAGGUGUCAUGUUUUUCAAGCACGCAUUUCAUUUUUCUAUAGUUGAUAACAUAGUAAACGACGUGUUUGUGGUUGAGUAUUGACACACAUUCCCUUGAAAUCUCUGCCCAUUCCUUGUAAAAGGCAUGAGAAUUUACUAAAUACCAUGAGCAUGGUUUUCCACACCAUUCUUGUUCACCUUUUUAUGCACCGAUUGUUCGAAUUUGAAUUAUGUGGAUUAAUGCCUAGAAAAUGCACAUAAUCCCCUAAAUAUGGUAAAUGAGCCCGGAAAAAUACCAAAUUUGAACACAUUGCAUUGGAGGGGGUAUGUUGAUUGUAGAAAAAACUGAAUGACAAACUAGGAAGGAAAUUUGGAAUCCCGGCCCCUACAAUCUUGGUAAUUUCCCCCUUGAGACCAUGAAACUUCCUCGGUGAUGGUUCGAUUUAUGAAGGGCGUGCACGACGACAUAAGCCAAACCAUCUCAAAUAUUUACCAGGGCAUGUUGAGGCCAUACCAUGGCACCAUGCCAGCCCUCAUGUUUUUCAAUCAUGUAUUUGAUUUUUCUACAGUUGAAAAACCAAUAAACGACGUGUUUGUGGUUGACUAUUGACACACAUUUCCGUGAAAUCUCUGCCCAUUCCUUGGAAAAGGCAUGAGAAUUUACUAAAUAGCACGAGCAAGGUUUUGCAGACCGUUCUCGUGCACCUUUUCAUGCAUCGAAUGUUUGAAUUUGAAUUAUGUGCAUUAAUGCCUAGAAAAUGCACAUAAUCCCCUAAAUAUGGUAAAUGAGCCCGAAAAAAUACCAAAUUUGAACACGGUAAUUUGCAGGGUUUAUGUUCAUCAUAAAAAAACUCAUGGACAAUGGACAAAGGAAAUUUGGAUUCGCCUUCAAUCUCGGUCAUUUACUAUAACACAUGAUUCGGUGUAUGCGAGAUUACCGUCCUAUCGCCAACCGACUAAUAUUGUUGUGAUGUAGGAAAUUUGAAACAGGGGCUAAGUUUGUAAAUUUCCUUGCAUUUCAGACAAGCGCGCCCUAAAGACAUGGUUCCCCCCUUCCUCUCUACCUCCAUUUCCCCAUUCGUACUCCGUAGGCGCCAAAACACCCUUUCCACCCCAGCCUCCUCCGUCCUCCACCCCAUCCACCACCGUCCUCCUCCACCAUGCCAGAGUUGAUACCCCGACGCCGCUAUCCAUUAGAAGAGAUCGACCUCUCUCAUCCAUGGCUUCGGACAAAGGAUCCUUGCAUCCUGUCCUCUCGCUUCAUCCCCGCCGUCAUCCACCUUGUCGGCGCCGCUCCUACGACCAUCUCGUCCACCGCACCCCGCCGCCACCGUCUACCCUCCUAGAUCUGCUUCCACGCAGCCAACAGCCAUCGCUACCGCAGCACCGUCAAAUUCUCAGCAGAUGCAUAGACGGCGCCGCACCAGAGGCGGUACUCUUUCGUAUCUGCUCAACUUAUUUAUCGCGGCAAUAAAAUAGAUCACCACUGCUUUACUCUGAUUUCUUGUCCAUCACUUACUUGCUAGUUGAAAGAAAACAUUGGUUGCAAAGUUGCCUUUGUCCGGUUUGCACCUUCAGAUCCGCCAUGGCACACUCAACACCAUACUCCCAAUGCUUAUGGUUUUCCCCUUUUAUAUUCCAGACUAGUUAAAUCACAAUAGACUAAAUUUCAAAAUUGGGUUAGUCGAUUUUUCAGAGCUCACCAGAGGUCGCCGGCGCGAAGGAAGGGGCUCGAGUGGGGACGGUGGUUGUGGGGUGCGGUGGUGGGGCCUCACCGAACGAAGAAAACUCGACGCGGGUGGGGACGGGGUGCGGGUGGGGGUGGUGGAGGACUAGAGAUGUUGGGGGCCGGUGGUCCGGCCGGCGGCCCGUGCGGUGUUCUGUAUGGGAAGAAUCAGAGACGAGGAAGAAGAAGGGUUAUGUGACACUCUAAAAUUUUUAUUUGGUUUUUAUCAAAAACUUUGUGGUUUUUGAGGAGAGGCUAUUUAAAAUUUUGCUUUUUCAAAAAAAAAACUUCCACUUAAAAACUUCCUUUGCCUUGGCAAGGAUUUUAUUUUUUUCAAACCUUGGUGUUUGAUCUUUUGAAUCUUCUUCUCUGUUGGUUGUCUCAAAUUUAAUUUUUGAGUUUAAUUUUUUUUUCUUUUAAAAUAAAGCUCUAUGAAAAUUUGGGAUUUCCAUAUCUUGGAACCAUCCUUGACUUGGCAUUCUUGCCCGUGUGAUAAAACCUCUCCAAAACCUCCCCUACACCUUGUGAUCAACCCAAGUUCUCUGUCCCAACUAAUCCAAACAAGUUUUGGAUUUUAUUCUAAUUAUUUUCCCUCUCAAAUCAAUUCUGAAAAUUAUUUGGAGCCUUAGUGAUUUUCAAAGCAAGUACUCUUUUUCAUUUGAGUUUUGACCUCACACCAACUCCCCUGGAUAGUCCUUUGUACCCACAACUCAGAACCAUCUUGAUCCACACCUUCUCUUUUCAAAAUUUUCAAAAUUCAGCCUCUGCAAGUUUGGACCAGAUUUGCCAAAUUUGAUGAAAUUCAUAUCUACACUCCCCCAAAAAUUCCACCAAAAUUCAGGCAACCUAUUUGAGCAAUGAGAAGCCACUCCACCAAGUAUCAUCUCAAGGAAAAAUCACCAGAGGCCAAUUUCAUUCUGUCGAACACCUUGCAAGCACUGCUGCUGUUCAAAAUUCAGAAACAUUCAGAGUUUAGUGUUGAUCUUCGACAGAGUUUCUGUCACGCGGCCACAGUGCACUUGGCGCGUUGCACGCGGCUCUUUCUCCCUGGCCAGCACCCCUGCACGCGCGCUUGGCGUCUUCCCGGCGUCGGUGGCGCCCCUGGCCGCCCGCGCCGGCGUGUCUUGCGGCGGCCGAGACCCCGUUACAGCCGUCAGGGGGCAAGAACGGUGGCUCAACGCCGUUCCGCGCCGCCCAUCGCUCCCUGGCUCUCCGCGUGGCCUCAUGCACGCUAGCGCACGCCCGUGCACCGCCACCGCGACCGGCAAGCACAGGACGCGCUCCCUGCCGCCGACGGGCCCGCGCCGUCCCGUUCUGUCGAACUCCCUCCUAAGCACCAAUCUCCAGCUCGUUUAGCACCAAAACGGACCCAGUAGACUCCCACGACGGUGCUCGACUCCCUAAUCACCCCCGACCGAGCACUGCGCCGCCGUAAUCGCUCGCCGGAGACCCCGUUCACGGCAACCGCCUCGGGCCGCCUAUAAAAAGGGCCCCCGAGCUCAACCUCGUGCACGCCUCAUCCCCACUCCGCACCAGCGCCACGCCAGGCCACUCGGAGGACCUCGAGGAGGUCUCCUCCCCCAGCUCCGGCCGCCCCGAUCCGCCUCGGCCUCCACCUCGAUUCACUCCGGUGAGGCCAUCUCCGGCGCCCAAACCCCGUCCAUUACCCUCUCUAGCUACCAGGAGCCUAACCCCUCUUCAAUUUAACCCUUGCAGCUCUCUCCGACCAGCCCCUCGACCACCCGAGCCGCCGUCCGCCAGAGCAAAGCUCGCCGUCGACGUGGUGCUCGCCGACCGCCUCCACCACCAUCAACCGACGCCGAAGGGUGCCCUGAGCACGGAGGUAUCCUCCGAUCUCUCUGCCUCGUCGUGGAUCGCCGCCGGCGACCACCGCGGCUCUCGGGCACCGGCGAACUCUGCCGCCCCGUUUGAACAUUUGAACCUGACGAGUGGGACCCCACCGUCAGCCUCUUUGCCCUUUCUAUCGAACCAUUUUCUGGAAGCGCCUUCGGGCAAAUACGUCUUUCCUCUGGGCUGGCGUAGUCGCUACCGAAGCGCUUUCUGUUUUUAUAAACUAGCCCCUGGAAAUCUUCUGUUUCAUUACAGAUGAGUCCCUGGACAAAAACCUUUAUAUCUUUUAAACAGAAAGGUAUUUUUGGUUGAUUCUUUUUCUGUUCUCUUUAAAAUUUUGUCUAGUUUUUUAUCAGAUUUAUUUGGAAAAUAUUUGGUGUACUUUCUGUGCACUCCUUGGUAUUUACGAUAGCACAUAUAUUUUCUUUAUAUCGUAGAUACCGAAGGAGGUGACGGAGCCGCGUACUUCACCGAGCUAGGCUCCGACUACUCCGAACCAGGCAAGCAUGUUUGAACUUUUGAUAUGAUGAGUGUCUUGGCAUGUUCUGCAUUUAGCUAGUUUCAUGUCAUGUUGAUGAGCAUACCGAUGAACGUCAUUUUAUGCAAUGUUGAGGUAAGUGAGUUCGAUGAUCCAUAAGUGGAUGAAUGUGAGUAAGAAUGGCCAUGUGUUGGCAUGAGGAUGGGUAAGAUGGCAGUGUUGUAGCAUGCCAGGCUUAUGCCAGACUACGUGACUUCAAUGUCAGCUCGUAUCACACCAGUUCCUUUCAUUCCGCCUUCCCUGUACUACCACAUGUUUUCCGCAAGGAAUAUGGUUUAGUAAGUUGCAAACUGCUUUUCUGGUACACACCAAAAGGAGAGGCCGUGAUGAUGGUUCCAUGGCCCUGGAUUAAAGCCAGUCAUCCGGUAGGGGGCAUGGGUGUUUCCGGUUGGGACCGAGAGGGGGGCACCCCUUAGAGCGCGCGUAUAUAAAUUUGAUCCCAUGCUAUUCGAGAUUGUGAUCUCCCCGUCUCAAAAGUUUUUCUUGGACGAUGUCUAGGGUGAUUCCUAGCAUCGAGAGGUAUGAUGGGUGUGUACUGGUUAGCUGUGUUUUCUUACGAAAUACCGGAAAUGGAACUAGUCCUUCGUGACUACGGAAAUCCGUUGGCUGUGGGAAUAAUUUUGUACAAACUCUGCAGAGUCAUAUAUCCCCUCCAAAUCAUCUAUUCCAUGUCCAAAUUCGUGUUAUCUUGUCCUAACAAUGACAGUUUUGAUGGCAGAGACUCCGGUGAUUCGCAUGAGUGCUAAUUCCGGUUAAAUGAAUAUUCCUGUGGAUGGACUAACCCAUUUAUUCUCAUGAAUUAAAUGUUUAUUAUGAGUAUUAUUUACUUAUGAAUCAAAGCCUUUUCUGUGAUGUCGCCCCGACGUCCGACUGUGGCAUUUCUUUUAAAGCCCUUCCUGUGAUGUCGCCCCGACGUCCGACUGUGGCAUUUCUUUUAAAGCCCUUUCUGUGAUGUCGCCCCGACGUCCGACUGUGGCAUUUCUUUUAAAGCCCUUUUCUGUGAUGUCGCCCCGACGUCCGACUGUGGCAUUUCUUUUAAAGCCCUUUCUGUGAUGUCGCCCCGACGUCCGACUGUGGCAUUCCUUUUAAAGCCCUUUAUGUGGUGUCGCUACGACGCCCGACUGUGGCAUCUUUUCCCUAUAUUUAUUUGUUCACCUUUCGAGGUGUCGCUUCAGACACCCGAUCGGUAAUUAUUCAUGCUUUGUUGGGGUUUCAGGCGGACUACCGCUGUUUCCCUUUUACUUACCUUGUUAUGCUAAUUUUGAAUGUACAUUGGUGAAUUUAUUCAUGUCGCAUCCAUGCACGCAUUUGUUAUAUCUUACGUCCGAACUGUCUUGCGAGUACUUUCAAAGUACUCACUGGCUUGUUGAUUUGGCCAGAUGCUGACGAAGGCGAUUUCAUGGAUGAAGAGUUCGAUAGUGAGUCCAACACUUAGAGGAGUCCCAGUCAGUCUCGUGCGACCCUGGAUUUGGUCACUGUUUUAUAUCCGCUUCCGCUACCAAAUAAAUUCAUCGAGCCUCACCUCGACGCUCGAUGAGAUGAUAGACUUAGAGUCUUGUAUUUCUCUCCCCACUGUGUUUUUCCACCACCGCCCUAUCCUCGAGUCAGUAGUAUGUCUCCACACCACUGUGUCAUGUCCGCCAUUAUGUAUAAUUAUUGGCGUGCUUGUAAUAAUUUGGUUGAGCAACCGCAGUUCGACCCUGUAAUAUAUUUUAUGCUACUGGCUUAUUGUAUCAAGAAAUUGUCUACCAGUGAGGAGGAUUUCUCUCAUACUAGACUCAAAAGAUUGGUUUCUCAAUAAAUAUUUUUAUUGGAAAACCGGUCGUGACAAGCUUGGUACCAGAGCCAGGCUGACUGUAGGAAGCCACUAGGUGCGAUCGCUAAUUGGUUAUUACCAUGAUAGAGCUAAUUUAUAUUUUUGCAAUUGUAGUCAUUUUCUGUCAGUCAGCAUAAAUUUAUGAUCUGACCAUGCAGAAUUUUUGCCUACUUUUGUAGAUGGCCGACAACAGCUGCGAGUCUCAGACCUUCGCCAACGUGCCCGAUGGGUUCGUCAAACUUCUUUCUUUCAUCGUUCAGGUCGCGAUGGGGCCAUCCGUGCGCCCAGUCUUCACACUCUGCCAGCACCGAGUCAACGACAGUCUGACCAUGCACCAGGCCGCGGUGCAGUUCAAGGGAGGGCGUGGUGAGUUACGCCGCUUCCGGUUCGUGGGAAGAGCAAUGCCUACGGAGAGGCAUGCUAUGCAGAUGGCAGCCCGCGAGGCGAUAGCUCGUCUCAGGGAUGUCCUUCCCGUGAUGAAGACUCGUCGUUACCGUUAUCUUCCGUGCCAUGUGCCUUACACCUGUCACUACGCAUACUCCUGCCCCAGAGGAGAACGAGACGAGGCUUUUGAGAUGCUCAUUGAGUAUCUCCGGGCCUUGGAGGCAGCCUUCGACAACCUGGUGGACGACUUCGUAGCUACCCGCAUGGACUCAGUUCAUGGCUGUGCUGCCAACAGCAGGGAGCUCCUACCAAUCGCACCGCCACUGACUUUUGUCUCGUCAUCAGCAUCUUUUACUCCUGCUCGUCGCCUGCCUUCUACCGAAGAAUUCAACCAGGUCAUUGCGCCCACUCCAGCGCGCACUGCACCAACCUUCGCGCCCACUCCUGUACGCGUUGCUUCGCCCCUGGCAACCGCUCCGUCCGCUCUGCGCAACACUACACGUAUGGAGCCCAUUAGCGAGGAGGAAGUCGAGUUCCCAACCUCGCUACGCCUCGCCCUCGGCAGGGCAAAGGAGGUCGUCAACAUCUCCUCCUGAGUACGCUUAGCUGCCGUGUAUUAUACCGCUUUGUAAGAUAUGUAUAUAGGUUGUGAGAAGUAGCCUGUUUGCGCAUCAUGUAGGAUCUGGGGAAGUGCACUAGCCUAAAUAACAUGUCAGGAUUAUGUAUGCAUAUCCUGAGUGAUGUAUUGUAUAAUUACCGCCCGCGUGUAAGAUAUGUAAUGAGUAGUCCUUCUUCGUGCGCACGUCGAUUUGUUUUCUUAAGUAAGCUGAGUUAUUUAAUUCUAUUUGCCAGCUUUAUGAAUUUAUGGUUUUGUUUUGCGACUCUUUCCGCUUUUCUUAUGAGUUUUACAAAAAUAUAUCCCCAGAGUGAAAAAUGUCUCGUCCUUGGACACGUUCCAUGCCAACUCCACCAGAGGAAAUUUAUGAUGCUCAACCCAACAACGAGUUCACUCAGGGACAGUCAAGCCAACAGGGCAGUGAAUCGGCACUUUCACAAAUGUGCCGCCUUUAUGAGCAGAGUCAGCAACAACAUCGCGAGAUGAUGAACCAAGUCAUCAACAUGGGGAAUCAUCAUGGACAGUAUCAGCAGCAUUCCAAGUUAUCUGAGCUACAGAAGACACGUCCUCAAACAUUUUCUCACACUGACAAGCCUCUUGAAGCCGAGGACUGGCUUCGAGAUAUGGAGAGGAAAUUAAUUAUUGCAAAGUGUUCAGAUCUCGAGAAAGUACUAUAUGCUCCACACUAUCUCACAGGAGCAGCCGCAUCGUGGUGGGAGAAUUUUCUGCACAUGCAUCCCAACGAAAAUGACAUAACGUGGGAGGAUUUCAAGGAAGGUUUCCGUGGUGCACAUAUUCCUAAAAGUAUUAUGAAAAUCAAGAAGAGAGAAUUCGAUGACCUCAAACAAAGGAACAUGACAGUGUCAGAUUACAACAGUCAAUUUACCCUAUUAUCCCGCUACGCCAAUGAGGAGCGUAUGACUGAAAUCAAGAAGAUGGAGAAAUUCCUUGACGGUCUAGCGCCCGCACUUAAAUGCCAACUGGUCGUGCACACUUUUCCUGAUUUUAAAACACUGGUGGACAAAGCCAUUACUCUGGAAAAUGAGAGACGCGGUCUGGAAGAUAUCCGCAAGCGAAAAAGGGACCAGACUACUCACGCUCGCAAUCACCGAAGUAAGACAGAUUUUCAAAAGGGUGGGACACACAAAUUCACAUCCAAUGUCUUACGCCCAAUCAAGAAUUUUCAUGCAAGGGACAAGGAAUUCACCUAUCGCCCCGGCGUUACUUGUUACGCUUGUGGAGAAGAAGGGCACUAUGCCAAACAGUGCCCCAAGCCAAGGAGUUCAACCCCAAAGCCGAACAACGGCGGCAAUAAUUCAGCGCCCAAGCGAAACAAUUUCAAUCCCAACAAUAACCACAGGAAGGGUCAUCUGAACCACGUAACCAAAGAGGAGGCACAAAAUGCUCCAGAUAUCGUACUCGGUACGUUUCCUGUCAACACAAUACCUGCAAUGGUUUUGUUUGAUUCUGGAGCUUCUCACUCUUUCAUUUCGAAAAGUUUUACUUUGCAAAAUAAGUUUUCGAUACUUCCUUUGGAGAAAUCCAUGAUCAUUAAGUCCCCUGGGAUUCAGCAAGUUUCUCAGAAUUACUGUCAGAAUGUGGUCAUUGAGUUCGAAUGAUUGGAGUUUCACGCAAAUCUUAUUGUAUUGGAAAAUAAAGGACUGGAUGUCAUCCUAGGGAUGGAUUGGCUAACCACCAAUAAAGGUUUUAUCGACUGUUUCAACAGGACCGUGAUUCUCACACACCACCAAGGGAAGACAAUAAGAGUAUCAACCAAGGAAGGAAAAAGACCCCGGCAACUGAGAUUAAAUAAGGUGGACGUUUCUGAGCUAAACAAGGUUCCAGUAGUGUGUGAAUUUCCAGAUGUAUUCCCUGAAGAGCUGCCAGGCAUGCCACCAGACCGAGAAAUAGAAUUCCGCAUUGAGCUAGCACCAGGAACCGCCCCCAUAUACAAGAAACCAUACAGAAUGGCACCAUCCGAGUUGGUCGAGUUGAAGAAGCAAAUAAAGGAAUUACUGGAAAAAGGAUACAUUCGAGCCAGCUCCUCACCUUGGGGAUCACCAAUUUUAUUCGCCAAAAAGAAGGAUGGAACACUAAGAUUGUGUGUUGACUAUCGAGCACUGAACAUGGUCACAGUCAAAAAACAAAUAACCGAUGCCAAGAAUAAAUGAUUUAUUUGAUCAGCUCGCUCAGGCCAAGGUAUUCUCAAAAAUUGACUUAAGGUCAGGAUACCAUCAAUUGAAGGUGCGAACGGAAGAUAUCCCCAAAACAGCCUUCACCUCCAGAUAUGGACUGUACGAGUUCACAGUGAUGCCAUUUGGAUUAACUAACGCCCCAGCAUAUUUUGUUCACCUCAUGAACAAAGUAUUUAUGAAGUUUAUGGACAAGUUCGUCGUGGUAUUCAUCGACGAUAUACUGGUAUAUUCCAAGACACCAGAAGAGCACGCAGAACAUCUCAGGAUUGUGCUAGGAGAGCUAAGAAAACACAAAUUGUAUGCCAAGUUCAGCAAGUGCGAAUUUUGGCUAAGACAAGUAGGCUUUCUAGGCCACGUACUGACCCAAGACGGUAUCGCAGUGGACCCAGAGAAAGUCAAGGCCGUACUUGACUGGAAGUCACCGGCCAGCGUAACGGACAUACGGAGUUUCUUGGGAAUGGCAGGAUAUUACCGCAGAUUUAUUGAAGGAUUUUCCACCAUAGCCAAGCCUAUGACACAGUUGCUCAAGAAAGAUAAGAAGUUUGAGUGGACAGAAGCCUGCGAGAAAAGUUUCCAAGAGCUAAAGCGGAAGUUAACAACAACACCGGUAUUAAUUGUACCCGACAUACACAAGAAUUUUGAAGUAUAUUGUGACGCGUCCAGAAAGGGUCUCGGAUGCGUGUUGAUGCAAGAAGGCAAGGUUGUCGCCUACGCUUCAAGGCAACUUCGCAAGCAUGAGGAAAAUUAUCCCACUCAUGACUUAGAAAUGGCAGCAGUUAUUCAUGCACUCAAGGAAUGGAGGCAUUUCUUACUUGGGAAUCGAUGUGAAAUAUAUACGGAUCACAAAAGUCUCAAAUAUAUUUUCACGCAGCUAGAACUAAAUUUACGGCAACGACGCUGGUUGGAAUUGGUAAAGGAUUAUGAUGUUGGGAUCCGUUACCAUCAAGGGAAAGCAAAUGUAGUGGCCGAUGCCCUGAGUCGGAACCUCAGCUCCGACGGGAACUAUCUGCACAGAUUGAGGGCCGAAUUCCAUCAAGAAUUUGCCAACCUCAACUUGAUGAUGGUAGCAGAAGGCACCAUAUCAAACUUGGUAAUACAACCCAACCUUGUGAAGAAAAUUAAAGAAGCUCAUCCCGGUCACCCCAGCAUUGAAGGAAUUAAAAGAAAGUUGAGUAUGGGCAAAGCCUCGGAAUUCUUCAUAGACAAUGAAGGAAUAUUAUGGUACGGAGAAAGGCUAUGCGUGCCAAACAUAGAAGACCUUAAACAACAAGUUUUAGCUGAAGCACACACCACUCCAUAUUCGAUCCACCCUGGAGGAACCAAAAUGUAUAAGGAUAUUCAGGAAAGAUUUUGGUGGCACUGUAUGAAGAGGGACAUAGCCGCCUUCAUUGCAUGUUGCGACUCAUGUCAACGCAUAAAAGCUGAACAUCAGAGACCAGCCGGACUACUGCAACCUAACAAAAUACCUGAGUGGAAAUGGGAUGAAAUAGGGAUGGAUUUUAUUGUCGGACUACCUCGGUCACGGCACGGGAAUGAUGCCAUAUGGGUCAUCACUGACAGGUUGACCAAAGUGGCACACUUUAUUCCAGUGAAGACAUCCUACACCACUCAGAGGCUUGCCAGGAUUUAUCUUUCCCGCAUAGUUUGUCUGCACGGUGUCCCGAAGACUAUAAUAUCCGACAGAGGCACUCAGUUCGUCUCAAGAUUUUGGGAGCAUUUACAACAGGCUCUGGGAACCCAACUAGCCUUCAGUACCGCAUACCAUCCACAGACUGAUGGACAAACAGAACGCGUAAAUCAGGUUUUAGAAGACAUGCUGAGGGCAUGUGUCCUCACCUACGGAACCAGUUGGGAAGAAAGCCUGCCAUACGCCGAGUUCGCAUACAACAAUAGCUACCAGGCCAGCCUACAAAUGGCACCAUUUGAGGCUUUAUACGGGCGAAGAUGUCGUACCCCGCUAAAUUGGUCAGAGACCGGAGACAACCGCAUAUUCGGGCCAGACCUGCUCAGAGAAGCCGAGGAAAAGGUCAAGCUAAUCAGAGACCGACUUAAGACCGCUCAAAGUCGACAGAAGAGUUAUUAUGAUCAGAAACAUCGUAGGGUCAGCUUCGAACCCGGUGAGUUCGUAUACCUGAGAGUAUCCCCUAUGAGAGGAUUGCAACGAUUUAAGAUUAAAGGAAAGUUAGCACCAAGAUUCAUUGGACCAUUCUGCAUAGUGGCACGAAGAGGCACUGUAGCCUACCAGCUAGACUUACCCGAAGACUUGUCCGACAUUCACGACGUGUUCCACGUCUCUCAAUUAAGGAAGUAUGUAAGCAACCCAGAGAAACAAGUAUCCCAUGAAAACAUUGAUAUGCAGCCAGACCUCACUUAUCGAGAACGUCCCGUAAGAAUAUUAGAGGAGUCUGAAAGGAGGACCCGACAGAAGACCAUCAAGUUUUUCAAAGUCCAGUGGAGCAAUCACACCGACAGUGAAGCAACUUGGGAAAGCGAGGAUUUUCUUCGGACUGAGCAUCCACACCUAUUUAAGGAUCAGCUGAAAUCUCGGGGACGAGAUUUUUCCUAAGGGGGUAGGUGUUGUGACACUCUAAAUUUUUUAUUUGGUUUUUAUCAAAAACUUUGUGGUUUUUGAGGAGAGGCUAUUUAAAAUUUUGCUUUUUCAAAAAAAAAAACUUCCACUUAAAAACUUCCUUUGCCUUGGCAAGGAUUUUAUUUUUUUCAAACCUUGGUGUUUGAUCUUUUGAAACUUCUUCUCUGUUGGUUCUCUCAAAUUUAAUUUUUGAGUUUAAAUUUUUUUUUCUUUUAAAAUAAAGCUCUAUGAAAAUUUGGGAUUUCCAUAUCUUGGAACCAUCCUUGACUUGGCAUUCUUGCCCGUGUGAUAAAACCUCUCCAAAACCUCCCCUACACCUAGUGAUCAACCCAAGUUCUCUGUCCCAACUAAUCCAAACAAAUUUUGGAUUUUAUUCUAAUUAUUUUCCCUCUCAAAUCAAUUCUGAAAAUUAUUUGGAGCCUUAGUGAUUUUCAAAGCAAGUACUCUUUUUCAUUUUAGUUUUGACCUCACACCAACUCCCCUGGAUAGUCCUUUGUACCCACAACUCAGAACCAUCUUGAUCCACUCCUUCUCUUUUCAAAAUUUUCAAAAUUCAGCCUCUGCAAGUUUGGACCAGAUUUGCCAAAUUUGAUGAAAUUCAUAUCUACACUCCCCGAAAAAUUCCACCAAAAUUCAGGCAACCUAUUUGAGCAAUGAGAAGCCACUCCACCAAGUAUCAUCUCAAGGAAAAAUCACCAGAGGCCAAUUUCAUUCUGUCGAACACCUUGCAAGCACUGGUGCUGUUCAAAAUUCAGAAACAUUCAGAGUUUAGUGUUGAUCUUCGACAGAGUUUCAGUCACGCGGCCACCGUGCACUUGGCGCGUUGCACGCGGCACUUUCUCCCUGGCCAGCACCCCCGCUCGCGCGCUUGGCGUCUUCCCGGCGUCGGUGGCGCCCCUGGCCUCUCGCGCCGGCGUGUCUUGCGGCGGCCGAGACCCCGUUACAGCCGUCAGGGGGCAAGAACGGCGGCUCAACGCCGUUCCGCGCCGCCCAUCGCUCCCUGGCUCUCCGCGUGGCCUCAUGCACGCCAGCGCACGCCCGUGCACCGCCACCGCGACCGGCAAGCACAGGACGCGCUCCCUGCCGCCGACGGGCCCGCGCCGUCCCGUUCUGUCGAACUCCCUCCUAAGCACCAAUCUCCAGCUCGUUUAGCACCAAAACGGACCCAGUAGACUCCCACGGCGGCGCUCGACUCCCUAAUCACCCCCGACCGAGCACUGCGCCGCCGUAAUCGCUCGCCGGAGACCCCGUUCACGGCAACCGCCUCGGGCCGCCUAUAAAAAGGGCCCUCGAGCUCAACCUCGUGCACGCCUCAUCCCCACUCCGCACCAGCGCCACGCCAGGCCACUCGGAGGACCUCGAGGAGGUCUCCUUCCCCAGCUCCGGCCGCCCCGAUCUGCCUCGACCUCCACCUCGAUUCACUCCGGUGAGGCCAUCUCCGGCGCCCAAACCCCGUCCGUUACCCUCUCUAGCUACCAGGAGCCUAACCCCUCUUCAAUUUAACCCUUGCAACUCUCUCCGACGAGCCCCUCGACCACCCAAGCCGCCGUCCGCCGGAGCAAAGCUCGCCGUCGACGUGGUGCUCGCCGACCGCCUCCACCACCAUCAACUGACGCGGAAGGGUGCCCUGAGCACGGAGGUAUCCUCCGAUCUCUCUGCCUCGCCGUGGAUCGCCGCCGGUGACCACCGCGGCUCUCGGGCACCGGCGAACUCUGCCGCCCCGUUUGAACAUUUGAACCUGACGAGUGGGACCCCACCGUCAGCCUCUCUGCCCUUUCUAUCGAACCGUUUUCUGGAAGCGCCUUCGGGCAAAUACGUCUUUCCUCUGGGCUGGCGUAGUCGCUACCGAAGCGCUUUCUGUUUUUAUAAACUAGCCCCUGGAAAUCUUCUGUUUCAUUACAGAUGAGUCCCUGGACAAAAACCUUUAUAUCUUUUAACCAGAAAGGUAUUUUUGGUUGAUUAUUUUUCUGUUCUCUUUAAAAUUUUGUCUAGUUUUUUAUCAGAUUUAUUUGGAAAAUAUUUGGUAUACUUUCUGUGCACUCCUUGGUAUUUAUGAUAGCACAUAUAUUUUCUUUAUACCGUAGAUACCGAAGGAGGUGACGGAGCCGCGUACUUCACCGAGCUAGGCUCCGACUACUCCGAACCAGGCAAGCAUGUUUGAACUUUUGAUAUGAUGAGUGUCUUGGCAUGUUCUGCAUUUAGCUAGUUUCAUGGCAUGUUGAUGAGCAUACCGAUGAACGUCAUUUUAUGCAAUGUUGAGGUAACUGAGUUCGAUGAUCCAUAAGUGGAUGAAUGUGAGUAAGAAUGGUCAUGUGUUGGCAUGAGGAUGGGUAAGAUGGCAGUGUUGUAGCAUGCCAGGCUUAUGCCAGACUACGUGACUUCAAUGUCAGCUCGUAUCACACCAGUUCCUUUCAUUCCGCCUUCCCUGUACUACCACAUGUUUUCCGCAAGGAAUAUGGUUUAGUAAGUUGCAAACCGCUUUUCUGGUACACACCAAAAGGAGAGGCCGUGAUGAUGGUUCCAUGGCCCUGGAUUAAAGCCAGUCAUCCGGUCAGGGGGCAUGGGUGUUUCCGGUUGGGACCGAGAGGGGGGCACCCCUUAGAGCACGCGUAUAUAAAUUUGAUCCCAUGCUAUUCGAGAUUGUGAUCUCCCCGUCUCAAAAGUUUUUCUUGGACGAUGUCUAGGGUGAUUCCUGGCAUCGAGAGGUAUGAUGGGUGUGUACUGGUUAGCUGUGUUUUCUUACGAAAUACCGUAAACGGAACUAGUCCUUCGUGACUACGGAAAUCCGUUGGCUGUGCGAAUAAUUUUGUACAAACUCUGCAGAGUCAUAUAUCCCCUCCAAAUCAUCUAUUCCAUGUCCAAAUUCGUGUUAUCUUGUCCUAACAAUGACAGUUUUGAUGACAGAGACUCCGGUGAUUCGCAUGAGUGCUAAUUCCGGUUAAAUGAAUAUUCCUGUGGAUGGACUAACCCAUUUAUUCUCAUGAAUUAAAUGUUUAUUAUGAGUAUUAUUUACUUAUGAAUCAAAGCCUUUUGUGUGAUGUCGCCCCGACGUCCGACUGUGGCAUUUCUUUUAAAGCCCUUUCUGUGAUGUCGCCCCGACGUCCGACUAUGGCAUUUCUUUUAAAGCCCUUUCUGUGAUGUCGCCCCGACGUCCGACUGUGGCAUUUCUUUUAAAGCCCUUUUCUGUGAUGUCGCCCCGACGUCCGACUGUGGCAUUUCUUUUAAAGCCCUUUCUGUGAUGUCGCCCCGACGUCCGACUGUGGCAUUCCUUUUAAAGCCCUUUAUGUGGUGUCGCUACGACGCCCGACUGUGGCAUCUUUUCCCUAUAUUUAUUUGUUCACCUUUCGAGGUGUCGCUUCAGACACCCGAUCGGUAAUUAUUCAUGCUUUGUUGGGGUUUCAGGCGGACUACCGCCGUUUCCCUUUUACUUACCUUGUUAUGCUAAUUUUGAAUGUACAUUGGUGAAUUUAUUCAUGUCGCAUCCAUGCAUGCAUUUGUUAUAUCUUACGUCCGAACUGUCUUGCGAGUACUUUCAAAGUACUCACUGGCUUGUUGAUUUGGCCAGAUGCUGACGAAGGCGAUUUCAUGGAUGAAGAGUUCGAUAGCGAGUCCGACACUUAGAGCAGUCCCAGUCAGUCUCGUGCGACCCUGGAUUUGGUCACUGUUUUAUAUCCGCUUCCGCUACCAAAUAAAUUCAUCGAGCCUCACCUCGACGCUCGAUGAGAUGAUAGACUUAGAGUCUUGUAUUUCUCUCCCCGCUGUGUUUUUCCACCACCGCCCUAUCCUCGAGUCAGUAGUAUGUCUCCACACCACUGUGUCAUGUCCUCCAUUAUGUAUAAUUAUUGGCGUGCUUGUAAUAAUUUGGUUGAGCAACCGCAGUUCGACCCUGUAAUAUAUUUUAUGCUACUGGCUUAUUGUAUCAAGAAAUUGUCUACCAGUGAGGAGGAUUUCUCUCAUACUGGACUCAAAAUAUUGGUUUCUCAAUAAAUAUUUUUAUUGGAAAACCGGUCAUGACAGGUUAGGAGACGUAGGAUCUUCAUCCAACCGCCUGAAAUGGUCGAGAAACAAUAGGGAGUUGCAUUCUUAAUGCGCUCUGGUUCAUCAUGUAUGGGCACUGCACAACUAACAUUUUAUUAUCCAAAAUCUGCUUGCUCUUCUUUAGCAUGUUCCUCUUCCAUUCUUCUUUAAUAAGUACUCUCUCCGUUCCUAAAUACAAGUAUUUGUAUAGAUUCCACCAUGGACUACAUAUGGAGAAAAAUGAGUGAAUCUACACUCUAAAAUGUAUCUGGAUACAUCUGUAUGUGAUCCAUAGUGGAAAUCUCUACCAAGACUUAUAUUUUGGAACGGAGGGAGUAUAUAUGAUAGUGGUACAGUAUGUUCCUUAUAGUGAAGAUGAGCUGGGACAUUUGCAGUGUAGAGGUCUAUACGGUCGAUUGUGAUGGACAAUUUCAACUCUUCGGGCCUCUUUGAUUUGUAGGAUUUUGUAAACACGGGAAUAGGAUUUGUAGUGGUGUGCCCACUUGAAUCCUAUAAGAAUAGCAAGGAAAUGCGGGGAGCUAUCUCGCCUUUGAGAGUUACACUAAUAUUAACAGUACCGCACCUUCAAUUGAAGAGAGUUGGUAUCCGAAGCCUUUCUAGUCGUACCGGCAAUACUAGCACAUAUUCUAGCAAGUUCCACUUUGCUGAUUUUACUCUGAUGCUUAAGGUUUUCCCGUUAUAUCUACACUAUGAUCUGUGUAGCUACUUUGUGUCGCACUAGCAACAGUCCACUCUUGAAGUUAAACACUCAAUGACUUACAAAAUUGGCACCAAGGCAUUGAGUGCCAUUCUGGAUGAAAUGAAACUCAUACGCUCCCCACCUGUUGACUCUUGUUCAGAAUAUGAUCAUAAUGACUCUUGUUCAAAAUUGCCACAUAUAGAGAGACAUCAUGGAAUUGCAUUUCUUUGGGCGCUGUGAUUCAUCAUGAGUGGGCAACCAACAUUGUAUGCAAUGAAGCGGAACCUCAAGAAUAUGCUUCCUCUUCUGUUCUUUAACAUGUUCCUCUUUUGUUAUUCUUUAUUUAGUACAUACAAUAUGUUCCUUGUCAGGAAGGGGAGUAGGGACAUCUAUAGUCAACAGUUGAUAGAGCGAGCCUGUACAUGAUCGAUAGGCUUUCAAUUACUAACGGCAAUACAACACCAUCUUUUCAAGCCAGUUCCACUUUCCCGAUUUAUAUAUCGUGGUUAUGGUGUACCCCUUUUAUGUACACUAUGAUCUGCCUAGUUGUUUGUGUGCUCUUGUUACCAUGGUUUGGCAAUAAACUCUCUAUACAGUAUAUUAUGAACCUAUCAUCUGCCAACUAUCCUUACUUCUGGAGCCUAUUUUUUGUGUACUUGUGCCAGAUUAUAUUAAUGCACGCACCAUAUUACAACACACAUGAGCUCUCUCAUCAGAAUCCAGUGAUAGCACACAAGUGUUUACAGGGGCUCCCCUAUAUUAGAAUAUCCUCUGCAUUACAAAGAUAAUCUCACUACUAUUUAUGUUUUCAUGGUUCUCAGAUAUUAUAUGUAAUUACAGUGAAUAUUGGAAUCCGUGUAUCUGAAGAAUAUUGUGGAACACUGCAAUGACUUACAAAAUUGGCACCAAGGCAUUGAGUGACAUUCUAGAUGCAAUGAAACUCAUACGCUCCCCACUUGUAGAUUCUUGUUCAGAAUAUGAUCCUAAUGACUAUUCUAACCUCGAGGAGUCAAAGGCAGAUGGCCUGUCCUGUUCACCCAUCAAGGUGCAUGUUCUAAUUUGGAAAGGUUUUAUUGAUUGCGCGUAUCUUGCAUAUGUUGUCUUGCAUUUCUUCUACUGUGUUGCACCUCCAUCUGCUUAGUUUACUCAUCAUAUAUGUCGAGAUGCCAUGCCCAUCCAUUAUCAAUACAUAUUCCAUUUGUCAUCAUACCAUGUUUUUCCACUCAAAUGAUGUUCUUGUGCAUCAAACAUCAAAAAGGAAGAGGGUGAUUGCCGAACCUGAAGGAGCACCAGCAAAGUCCUUGAAAAACGUGGUAGUGCCGGAGAAAUCAGACAGCACCCCACUUAUAUUGGCUGUACAACCAAUGACACAAAAUGUAGGACCGACUCCAGCAGACUGUUCCCAUACUUCACUGGCCACACCAUUAGCCCCACCACACAGGACCUGCACUCUAGCAAAAGGUAUGCCGAUUUCAGUUGCCAUAGCACCAGCCGUACAAAAGAAAAAUCCCACUCCAGCAAAAAGUACAACAAGUCCACCGGCCGAAGACCUAUCCCAACUGCAAAGACGGCCAAUUCCUGCAGAUUGGAACCCCAUUCCAGUUAAUCCAAGAUUAGAAGACAAUGCUUUCAAUGUUUUUAAGGACUACGUGCAUAUAAUCCCAUCAUGGAAAAAUUAUAGUGAAGACAAACACCAUUUUCACAUCUUCCUGUCCCACUUACGUGUAAGUGCUAUUAUUCGUGGUGAUUAUUUUCCUGUUUUCUGCUAAUUGAACACAUCAAUGAUUUACAUUACAUUAUUGUAAGUAGGCGAGGGUCAAUCUGGAUAGUCACGACGAGCAAAGCUUGCUUGCGCUUUUCAAGGAAGCAUUGCAGCAGUAUCGGUGUUACCUGAGGAAAUCACACUUUCAUGGCAUGUCAAUAAACAAAUUCCCGAUGAAGUCUCCUAUUCUAAAUUUAGAAGACAUAGAAUGGAAAAACCUUGUUAUGCACUGGACUCAUUUCAAGGAUGAGGUACUAUAUGUGAUAUCGCAUGACAAUUUGAACUUCUACUUUUCCGCAUGUGCCUUACGGAUCUUUUUUGCAGGAAGUCUGCUUGAAGAAGAAUUCCGGUUUGAAAAGAACAACAGGAUAUCGUAAAUAUGUUGCCCGCUGCUUUGCUCUUGUUAGUACCUGUUGUCCUGUAUCACUGUACUUGCAUUCAUACCUGGUUCAUUAUGUGACAAAAGUAUGCAUGAUAGCUUGCUUAUCAAUUGUUCGCUCCAAAUUAUCUGAUUUGUAUGAAUGGUUACAUUAGUGUAGAAUAUAUCCAAUGCCAAUGAAAAUUUUUAGCUCUGCAUUGUUCUUGUAAGUACCUACUGUCCUUUAUCAGUGUACUUAUAUUGACACGUAGUUGUUCAUGUACCAUCACUCUGCAGCUUAUUUUCCUUUUCCCUCCACUUUCUACAUAUCAUAUCUAUAUUUACUCUUACCAUUGGAUAACACUGAUGGUACUGAAGAAGUUUAACUCUGCAUUGCUCUUGGUUGUACCUUUUCCCUGUAUCGUUGUACUUACAUUUAUAGCUACUUCGUUAUGUAGCAUCACUCUUCAUCUUAUCUUAAACAUUCUCCAUUUUUCCUUAUAUUGUACAUCUAUAUUUACUCUUAACAAAAUAGAGAAUAAAGGCAAUGCUUAUGAAGAAGAUUAUGUGGUAAACUUCUUGAAUUGCCCCCCCCCCUUAGCAUUGACAAGGGCUUUAUAGAGCCUGUCUUCACCAAUAAUGUAAGUUUGUCCUUCUCAAGCCUUCAAACUUUGUUGUGUAUAUUUGGUUAGGCAUGACUGCAAAAGCUGUUUAUUUUCGGUGUUUGCAUCAAAUUGCAUGUUUAAAGUUUAUUAUGUAGUUCAUAAACAAAAGUUUGUCCUUCUCAAUUUAAGUUUUCAGUUGUACAACCAAGUUGCUUCUUCAUACCAUAUAAAUUAAACUAUACAGAGCAAGUGAUCUUCUUUUGCACCGCAUGUAUGCUUCUGUUCUUGAUCUGUAAUCCAGUGGUGUGGUGAACCUACCCACUACACCACAAUGCAUAUUCUGCAAUGUCUUAACAAUGAACAAUGUCAUAUCGUUCUACUAUUAUUUAAACCGUCUCUUUAUUUGCCAAUCUGAAAUGGGAUAAAUUGACAGCACACUAACCAUUGAUACUUAUGAGUUCUUGAUCCGUAAUCAAGUGGUGUCGUGAAGCUGUCAACUCCUUAACAAUGUCAUUUCCUGCCAUGUCUUGACCUGAACAAUACCAUAUUGUGUUCAUGCUAUUAUAAACUGUGUCACUUUAUUCAUGAGUAAGAAAUGUGAUGAAUUGUCAGCACUGAUACUUAUAUGUGCAAAACCUGUCAUCUAUCUGCUUGUUUAUCUUUUAGAGUGAGGAGGAUAUAAGUGUCAAACAAGAGCAGUCUCAUCAGCUUGCUCAGCUGCUUGCGCUGCAGCUCCGGAGCAGGGCUAACCUUUCUUGAACUCUAUUGAAGUGCUGUCUGUUCUGUAUAUUAUUUUGUCGGCGUGUUUAUUUGCACCGGUGGCGAUCUUUGAUGCCCAGUGUAUGUAAUCUGCUGUCUGCUUGUGCUUUAUUAUCAUAGUGGCGAACUUUGAUGCCUAGUGGAUGUAAUAUGCCGUAAUUCCUUUUAUAUAGUCUAGGUUUUUUCUUAUUCACGAUGUUGCGGUUAUUUUACUAUAUAUAUAUAUAUCCUAUCUUCGCAGUAAACCGGCCAAACUGUAAAAUUACGGUACAUAAUCGGGUCGUCAUGCAAAUCACUAUGUAUGAUCCGCAUCAUGGGCCCCGUCAUCUUGGCCCGUUAACAGGCCUAAAUGUAAACUGGCCCACUAGUAGAUUCGGGCCUUUAACAGGCCGAGUAAACCGCCGGCCCUAUUUUCGUAAGAAAACUCAAUGGGCUUUUAGGAGGCAGAAAUGUAGGUUGGGCCUGAAACGUGCCAAACAACUAACGGGCUGGCAGCAGGCCGAAAUAGACCUCGGCCUAUGAUUGUGCCAAUCAAAUCACGGGCUUGUAACAGGCCAAAAUUGUCUCGGUCCUUGUUUUACCCAAUCAGAUUAUUGGCUGUGAGCAGGCCGGAUGCAAACCGAGCCAUAGUUAGGCCCAACUAUAUGACGGGCUUUUAACAGGCCGAAAUAAAUAUAUGGCCGAAAUGUUAAACGGGCCUUUAACAAGCCGAAAAUAAUAUCAUGCCGAAUUACUAAAUGGGCCUUUAUCAAGUGGGCCCAAAAGCAUAGCGUCCGGUUGACGGGCCGAAUCUGAUAUGCGCCAUAAAUUAGCCCAAAGCCUCUCAAAGGGCCGGACCUGAUCUGGGCCAUAAUUUGGCCCAGAACGUGGUAGGCUUUUAACGGGCCAGAUUUCAUAUGGGCCUAUAUUAGGCCCAGAUCAUGGCAGGCUGUUAAUAGACCGGAUCAAAUAUGGACCGGCAUUUGGCCUAAAACAUGGCAGCCUAUUAAUGGGUCGGCCUACUAGUGUCAUCGAAAUCUUGUGGGCCUUUAGCUGGGCCGGCCCAUUAUGGUCGGUGAAAUCUCGUGGGCCUUUAGCUGGACUGGCCCAUUAUGGUCCGCAAAAUCUUGUGGGCCUUUAGCUGGGCCGACCCAUUAUGGUCCGCAAAAUCUCAUGGGCCUUUAGCUGGGCCGUCCCGUUAUGGCCCGCAGAAUCUUGUGGGCCUUUAGCCCUGACGGUCCAUUGUGGUCCACAAAAUCUAGUGGGCCAUUAGCUAUGCCGACCCAUUAUGGACCGCAAAAUCUUGUGGGCCUUUAGUUGGGCCGGCCCAUUUAAACUUUAUGGGACACUUUUGGGCCGGUCCACGUGUCAACAUUUCAUAAGCGCAUCUCGCCCAUUGGAUGAGUGACACCUGUGCCAACGCAGAGCUGACAUGUGUUUCCUCUAGCCAAUGAUGAUUUUACACGUGGGAAAUCCCCAUUUGUCCGGGCUGUUAACGGGUUAUCGGAUCCAAAACCGGACCCAAUAGCUUAACGGCAUUCCGUUACGGUGGAUGCCACGUGUCGGUCACCCUUGACGAAAGCACAUGGAAGUCGACACUUCCGUGAUUAUAAUUUUGCUAAUGCCAUGGAACACUUCUACGACAGCACAUGUAUGACUAUCUUAAUUCUGUCAUAAAAUUGUCAUGGAUGGACAUGCAUGAUAAAAAACGUGACCUACUGUGACAAACACGUAUCAUCACAGAAGUGUAUUUUUUUUGUAGUGAUAGUAUACCACAUCCAAACCAUAAACCGAAUGAGGACCGACGGGGACGGAUAUCAAAACCAUGAAACUAUAUAUAACAAACAAUCAUACAAGUAAGCAAAUUAUACUAGUAAUUAUCUAAAUCAUACAAAUAAGAUUUUUUUUACAAAAAUGAUAAGAACAAGAGGCUCACCAAGGUGGUACCGGCGCUGGGACGAUGCGGGCGAUCGACGGCGGUGAGGACGGGGACGGGAAGGCACUAAAUAAAACACAGUUAGACACAUGCAAACUAAGAAGUUAAUUUGAGCUCCAAUUGCAUAUAAAUCAAAUAAACUCCCACAUAAUUACUCCUAAACUAAAACUCAACAAAUCACUAUACUUAUAGAGCAUGAAACGAGCUAAAUAGCAAUGACAGAUGAAAGGAUGAAGUUGCUAACUUUUUAGAACCCAUGGAUAGAUGGGGUGCCUCCAAUCUUGACAAAUCUUGGAAAAAAUGGAGGAUGAACUCGAGCUUGGUUAAGGAAACAGAGAGAAGAGAAAGCUUGGACUCGGUCUGGAUGAAGCAACUUUAUAUAGGGGGAAGACUUUAGUCCUGGUUGGACAUACCAACCGGGAGUAGUCCCGAUUGGUGAGACCAACCGCGACAAAAGGGGCUCGUAGGGGCCCAGCCUGCCGCAACCCCUUUAGUCCUGGUUGGUAUCACCAACUGGGACUAGAGGUCCUGUUUGAACCGAGACUACCCCGUCCGCUCCUAGCCAUUAAAACUGGGACUAAUGCUCACGUUAGUCCCGGGCCCAAACCCGACCGGGACUAGUGCUCCGGAUGAAAGGUUAGUUUUCUACAAGUAGACACCUGAGUUUUCUGGAGACAAUGAGGACCCCUGGUGUGGGGGUUGCUGCUAGAAACUCUUAUAGCAAAGUCAUCAUCUCUUCCACAUGAUUUUAUUGGACGGGUUAAAAGUCUUAAUGAAGCUAAGUUUCGGGUUUCAUGUCGGGCAUUAUAUUGGUAUCACUCUUCACAAGUCUAUUAUUCUGGGGAAUGAUUGUGCUUUUGUAGUUUCUUUUCUUACAAAUGGAAACAUUGAAAGGUCUCCUCUCGUUGAUCUCAAUAAGAAGGCAUUGAGGAUCGGCUUCUCCAGAACUACAAAAUUUCAAAAAAUUAACCGGUUUACUGAUGGAAUGACACACAAGAUUGCGAAGUAUUGUUUCGAUAGUAGGUCUGAUGGUGUUCUUCUUAAUAUUUUGCCGACCUAUGUGGUGUAUGCUUUAAUUAAUGAUUCACAAUAAUUUUUUUAUUAAUUAAUAUAUAGGGUGUUUUAAUGAACACUAGAAGUUAUAAUAGAAAUCAUUUGGUUGCACCACAUGAAAAGAUAGAAACUUUCUAUCAUGAUGCAAUACAUGACAUGGUUGGCGUAGACACAAAUGAAAAAUCCCCAAAGGUCACACAAUUUGCUGGAUAUCCUAUAGCAUCCUACUGUAGAAUAAAAAUUGUAGGAUUUUCAAGGGAUUCAAUCUUUGACAUUUUGUAAUCUCUGCGGGAUUUCCUAGAAAAAAUUUAUGGUUCUCGAAACUUAAUGUGUAGAGCUGAUACUAGCAUAAAUAUCUGAGAGUUGAGGAAACUUAUAGAAAUUUUCUCGGCUAAUAUACAAUUCUUAUUUCAGGUCGAAUAUGUUAUUUCACGUCGGUGGCCCACCAAAUGGGUGCAUAGUUAUCCGUCCUCCCGCCUCCUCCCCGACGUCAGCUCCUUCAUCAUCCUAAUUGUUAGCUAGCCCCCUCAUGAUGUGGCAUUCAUUUUGCAAUGCCACAAGAAGGCUUAAUUAAUACUACUCACUGCAUUAAUUUAUGGACUAGUUAAAUCGGGAAACUUUUCUUUGGACAUGGACAAUCAUAUUCAUGUGAUCUGAGUAUUUGUAUUGAAUUAUCUUAUUCUUGGUAGUUACUCCAUCAUGGUGGAUUGUUGUACAAAGGUGUUAAUACGUCCAAAAGCUAUCACAUUUACUUCUAGAUUUCUGAUGUCUUUUCGUGUCAUGUACUUAUUGUAUACUUAUAUUUUCAUGUAUUACAUUACUUAAUUUCAGGUAUAACUGGUAGACAUUACAAUUUAUAUGAUCUCCCUAACAAUGCCAAUAAAUAGAAAAGGCCCAAAUAUCAACGAAUAUGAUGACAAAGAAAAUCAUACGUACGCAAGGUACAGUUACGGGGUGCAACGAGACGACACCACAUGGUUUGUAGGGCCCACCAGUUUCUCCACUGCCCUCAUCCAACCGUUAUCGCUACCAUUCUAGAUUGAAUACAUCAUAAGACUCCAUUUAUGGUUGUAUUUAUUGAGGAAUGGGCGGAAGAUGACCAACCAACAAAGAAAAUGAAUGUUCUUCGGGGACAAAAUAUUGCCCAACUCUCUUCUCCACCGGAAUCCACGAUAGAUUGCAAAGGAUUGGUUUGUACCCAUGGUAAUGAUAGUCACAUAUCCUCCAUGAUGAUCCCAUAAUGAGUGAGUAGUCCAUCGAGACUAUGGGGGUUAUGUAGCAGUAGACAUGUCAAUUUCUCCUACAUUUGGUUGGAUCUAGGAUUAUUUGUGAUUCUGCUAAAGUGAUACUAUUAUGGUUGUGCCAUUGAUACAUUGUUAUUUUAACAAGGAUGUGUAAUGAUUGAGAGUUACAUAUUGGUCAUAUCAUUGAGUCUUAUACCCUUUAUAAAUACAUUGGAUGAGUGUCCAUCAAUUGACUCCAUCCUGCUAUUAUGGGAUGAUAUAUUAUGUGCAUGUAUAAUGUAUUUGGCAUGGGUUUGCAUGGACUUCAUUGGCCCCUCAUUUCGUGUGAUUUGUGAAAACCCUGAGAAGGAAAUAGUAGUGUGACAAAAUCUAUGUCAUGUUUUGCUUUGCGCCUAUCAUUAGUAGUACAUGGAAGCAUCCUUUUUGGUUAGCCAAUAACAUAAUUAGCUGGAGAGAGAGAGAGAGAGAGAGAGAGAGAGAGAGAGAGAGAGAGAGAGAGAGAGAGAGAGAGAGAGAGAGAGAGAGAUUGUGAAACUGUUGAACUCCUUGCUGCUUAUCUCUUAAAAUUGUUUUUUAUUUUACGUGACAACCAUUUUUUUGUAAGUUAGUUAAUUGAGAAAUGGAUACUUGAAGCUUUUGCUUGCACACCAUCUUAUUAGUUUAUCUUGUUUUAGGUUAAAGGAGAAAAGUCAACCUAAACUUCCAUGUGUUUGGUACUCAUUGCGGUGCUAUUUUCCAGACAAUAAUCAUCCAGUGCAGCGUACCAAUCGGUGAUCCUAAUAGUGCACAUAAGGAGAGAUUUACAUUGAAUCUUGGAUCGAGGUAAUACCCUACUUCCUGCUUGUCCGGAUUGAUUUCCCUAGACUCAUAUGAGAACUAUGGUUUAUGUGUACAUGGGGGUUUGGUCGCUAGAUCAUAAUUGGUGUAUGAAGCUGAGAUGAUUCUGAAGCUAUUCGAGGGAGGGGUGUGGUGGUGGGUAUCUUCCACACCUAAUGUACCUACCCAUGGCUACUGUUGCAUGAGUCCCGACUUGGUUGAUAUGCAUAAUACAGUAGACCUACUGUGGAUGGAAAGUAGAGUCAUUGUAUUGUACAUCAUGGUGGUGAUCCGCCCUCUAACAUCUGAGGACUUUGAGGAGCAGGCCUUGGACACCCUGUGAUUGUUGGGCUUCGUCCAUCCUCCAUGUCUAUAGGCAGUGGAGCAUGGCAUCAUGACUCAUCUAUUAUAUAUAAGAUGUACUUAGUGGGCUAACAAGAAUAAAGUGAAUUAUGAUAGAAAUUUCCACAAAAGUUAGAAACAUCUAACCUUUAAUUGAGUUUAUCAUAAAACUACAACCGUUAGAUCAUAAUAUAAUUAUAGAAAAUUACCCACCAAUACCAUCAUCAAUGAGGCAACUCCUAUACGCUAAACUAAUUUGCUUGUUCGUUCAAUCUCACAAAAAAGUCACCCAUAUGUUCUCUCUCGUCCACAUCUAGCAAUGCCCAUAAGCCAAUCCCCAAAGCAAAGCCGAUCAGCCGUGGCCCUGCGGUGUAUUCUUUUCCCAAUAGGCAUCCACCCCAAUCACAACCAAUAUAUCUCAAUCACCGCCUUUACCACUCAUAUUAAAGCAGCUCACGACCCGACAGUACAAAGCUAAUGAAAAUCUACAAUUUUCUAACCCUAAUUUAUUUUUCUGAUGUCGCUCUCUCAUAUUUGUCUAGCAAUGUUACUUUAACCCUAACAUUGUCUCAUGUUUGGAAAGUAAAGCUGGGGCAAGGCAAGUUGCAUCCGUCGCCUCCCCGACAUCUUCUCUAAAACCUCAAGAUGCAUGUCCUCCGUGUCCUGCGAUCUCCUCAUAUUGGGUGCUUCAAAGGGGUAUCCAACAUCCAGCCGUGCACGUACCAUGACAUAACAUUCGACUGAUUGGUGGUCGGCAAUCGAUCAAACCACCAUGCACUCUCAUAAAGGCAGCUAGCACAAUUAGAUGCUUAUCUGGCUGCUAAGAUUCUGAAUAAACAUGAGUACAUAUACGCUUGCACGCGUUGUUUCUUAACGUGUGGCAUGCAGGAGUGCGCAACUAUAUAAUUUGAGGGCAAGCAAUAUUUGUACAAAGGCUCCUCUCAUAGGUACGUAUGUACACACAUAACUAUAGAAGUACAGUGCACACAUCCAUUGAUCAUUGCAUGAAGCAUUAAUUAAUACCGUAAUUUUGUCUUCUGUCUUUUCGCACAGACCUAAAUUUUGUUUUGCACAUUCAAAGGUGUAGACCUAAGAUUUCAUGUUAGCUCUGCAAGUAACAAUACUGGAUUGGUGUAUCUUUCUACAGUACACUAUGUGGUGACAUGCUGAAAUACUGCUUGUAAGGUUCAGUUAAGACAAGAGCUCUGUUUCGUCAGUGGUGUAUUCUAUUCAGGAUGCCAUGCUUCAAAGAUUCCAUCAGUUCUGAUGAUUUGUAUUUUGUCGGAAUCUGAAAGACAAAUAGUUGAUAAAGAAAUAUUUAUGUGUAUUCAGACCAGUUGUCAAAUAAGUACCAGUGGCUGCACUUUAAUCAAGAAAAUAUGCACAUGGUCGUUUAUUUUAUUUUGUAUAUUACAUCGAUAAUAUCUCAUUCACUAUUUAUGUGAUUAGAUAACUUUACACAGAUAAUGUUGGACAUCACCCUACACUUUACAUUAAUACUGACAAACUAGCAAUGUUGUGAUAUUAACUUUAUAAGCUACACAAUUUGAUGGUUGACAUAAACGUGCAAAUAUUUUCUAUUAUGAUUUUCAAGGAGAUAUAUAGGCCACGAAGCACUAAAAUUUAAUGAAGACUUACGCACAUGUUUGUGGUUGCUUUGAAAUUUCUCUGAAAUGUAGCAAUUUGUAUAUUAAUUCUGCUAUAUUUUUUCCUUGCUUGCUACUUCAUUAGUAUGAAUACUUCAUUUCUAAUACUCUAUGAUGUUGCUCCUUACCGGCAAGGCUAUUUUUUCAUUUAUUAUCUAUGAUUCCGGUUCGCCAGAUAAUAAUAGUUCAAUGUACGUUUCAGUUUAAUAAAAACCAAUUGUAAGUUGUAACUGAUGUGACGCUCAAAUUUUCUUGUAGUAAAUCUAUCUAAAGGUGCAACUAUACUAGCAUGCUUAUUAUAAGGAGGACACUGAUGGUGCAAAGGGGAGACAACAAUGAUAUGAUAUUAUGAUGUGUCACAUUGGUAAUCGUUUGAAGUUCGAGUAACAUAUUUGUAUAAGACAAAAUGUGAAUCUAUUAUUUAUUUUUGUUUAGACCUAUCAUGUAGCUUAUUUGGGACAAGUUCUUCUCAUAGAAUGUGUGUGGAAUCAACAAUAAAACUAUACAAUUACGAAAUGUUAACCAGCCUGGAUUUUAAAUGUAAGCUGCACUUGAUAAUAUGGACUUAGCUAGAGUGUUCAAUUUGAAUUAUACAUGUUCAUUCAGUUUCCGCGUCAAGGAGCCGUGGAUCCAUACAAAGGAUGUUGGCAACCUCUAUUUUUUGAAGAAAAAAAAAACCGAGUAUGUCCUUACAUUCUCCUCUUUCCAAUAUAUAUGUGUUGAUGCUGCAUUUAGUUCUAAUAGCUUGUCAAAGGUAACUGUGAAAGCUGAAAGUUAUGUACAACCUUCACUCAAUUCUAAAAGAACUUCAGGGAAAUUUGUACCUGAUCCCGUCUUUCAUCAACCUUCCUUAAUAUGUUACAUUUCUCUAUUCUUGUAUAUAAAAGUAAGUUUGUUUCUUUCAUUUGAGUUGAUUAGGAACGAUAAGGUAAACAUAAUUUGAUAAAUUCUAUUGUUUGCAUAGAUGUGAAAGAUCAUGCAUUGGCACUUGGCACUGGGAUGAUCUAAUCAUAACUGCCUUCUUUUAUAUUCCAAAUAACAGAAGUUGCAUAAAAUGUUUAUAGGUGAUGUACAAUGGAGGCAAUUGAGGGAAAAUACACUCUCUCAAUGGCAAUAUGUUGCAGCUUUCACAAACAAUCUUGAUGUUUCAUGUGUACAUAUCGCCAGACAUGGUAUUACCUCAUAGUUUUUACCCUUAUAUAAUAUUGCUAUGAAAGAAUAAUUUGUGCUUACUUCCAAAUGCAGGUACUACUGCCUAUCUGUGGGGUGUGUGUAUCAAGUGACAUAGGAUAGUGGGUUUCAUCCGUAAGCUAAAUUUUAUUGGUCUUCUUUUUCACUAUUUACAGGUUAUAUUCAACUUAGGGUUGUAACUCUCAUUCCUUUAAAUACAUUACUAUACAUAAUUAACUUUUUCAUAUGUAUCACUUCUCAUAAAUGAAAAAAUUGUAUGUUCAAAACCCAGCCUACUAGACUCUAAGUUGCUCUUGUGUAUACUCCACAGUGUUCUAAUCUUCAGAAGGCCUUUGUGAGUACGAAUAAAAUAUUUCUAAUGGUCUUUUCUGAAAUGUAAUCCUUCAUAAUUUUGUAUGGAAAUAUAUAAUGAUUUUUUCACUGUACAUCUUAUCUUAAUAGUUUCUAUCAUCAUAAUUUUUGGUUUUCCUACUACUAGCUUUUAGUAUAUCAUCACAUCCCUAAUUCUACUUUCUUAUAUUUAAAAUUAUUAGAAUCCUAUGUUCAAACUAAUUCUUUCAAAAAGAUCUGUACCCUAGGAACAUUUUUGGUUGGAAUAAUUUCAGAAAGAGGGCUGAUAUUAUGGAUAAAUAUGUACGUUUUUAUGUUCUAAUAUAUCCAAAAGAUCAUAAGCGUGUCGAGAUGAGUGCGUGAGAAAUAUCAUUAAAGAGAGGUGAAAAUGUGCCCCAGUAUUUGUUUGCUCACUUUCAGCGAAUACGUCCUUUAAUUCACAUUAAAAGCCUGGAAAAAAAGUUCACAAGCAGCCAUAAGAUACUUAAAAGGCAUUAUUUCGUAAUUUUGCAUUCUAAAUUUCAUAGUCGUAAUGAAAAGAUAAUUUCAUAUACAAAUAUAAUAUAAAUACUACAUAUGUUACCAUCUUCUCUACCCAUUAAAAUGAUGCCCUCGUAUUUGCGGGGGCCACUGUGCUAGUUCUAAUUAAAGAGAAGAUGUACAACAACCCUGUGGACUUGCAGGAAUGAUUGUGGGUCACAUAAUCAAGCUCUUUUAUAGUGCAAUUGCUAGGGAAGAAUACAUUAAUUAAGUCUGCGGUCAUCACAACCAGUGCGAUCGAACGCUGGCUUCUCAGCCUCUUCAUGUAGAAGUCUUCCACGCCGAUGCAUGGCGGCGAGUGACAUGCACGCUACGUGUAGGCAGAAGUUGCUCUGCCAGAGAUGAAAAUAAGCAACACCCAUGUGAGCCGGGCAUAUGCACAUACUAUGAAGACCUUUUUGCCUAUUCCCUAGCCCCUUGCGUGUCAUGAUCGCCAUCAUCAUAUCUGAUCUUAGAAUUAGGUGUUGCGGUCAUACACAUACGAGCAAGUCCAUAACUAGUUCAUUUUUUAAUUAUUUUGAGUACAAUUUCAUUUUAUUUAAUCGCAUACUUAACUACAAUUUUACCACUAUCAAGAAGGUACUCCCUCCUAUUUGUAAGUGGUACAUCUUAAAACUUAUGUUCGAGUACCAUAUAAGAUUGGCUAUUAGAUUAGGAUGGAUGUGUGGCUCAUAUCAAUUUUGAGGUACUGUAAAAGAGCAUGGUUCAUAUGGAUUAAUUAGAAUCCACCAAAAGUCUUAUUGUUAAAAAUCCUCCAAACCAAAGAGAACCUAAGGUGACAAUGACAUGCAAGAUAGUGAAGGAAGGAAUUUUCUUUCUAGUUGAAGAGUCUUUCCCUAUUCAGAAUCUUUUUUGACCCUAUUUAAAAUGUGAGAAUUUCACAUGAAUUCGGUAGGACAGUACAAGCCAUAAUGAACGAAUCCAAGUCUUCCAUUUUUCUUUUUAAGAUUGCUAUUGGCAAAGACACAAAUUCUUUUUCCAUGUGCAAAUAUGCAUUGACAUUAUAGCUGUUCUGAAAUCUGAUGUUCAUUUCAUGUACUGUAGUCUAGUCUGAAACUUGUAGCUUUCAACUUGUCACCAUAUGGUUAGUAUAAUCUAUGUGGUGAGGGCGGAGAUAAAACAUUAGGAUGCUGCAAGGUAGAUAGCGGGGGACAAAAAGUAGCACAAAAGGUUCGACUGAUAUAUGAGAGUGCAGUCAUUUUCUGCUCGGCCAGGGUCGCCUUUGUAAUAAGUGGACCAGUAUCAAAGUGGCGAUGCGGUCAUCGGUGCUUCCCUCGUAGAGGCGCAUGGGAUGCAUGCAUGAAUGAGCUGAACGAUAAUCUAAUGAGUGCCGUGCAAAUGGCAGGAACAAGAGAAGCGCGUGUUUCAUCUCACACCAACGAUCGAACAAAACAUAUCACCACCAACAGUUGACCGUGGUGUCAGCUUUCGAAAAAAUAUAGAUCCAUGAUCCAUGAUCCAUCUCCACCGCAGUGCAAAAUGGUUUCGUUGCAACCCACCCACUGAUUCUUAAUGCUUUUCGGGUACUUUAAUGAAAUGUGUUUCACAUGGACAAUUAUCGUACGAAUGGUAAAUCAUCGUGAAGCAAUAUGGUAGUGGAUUAUGAGAAAAGAUUCAUCUCCAACCCGCUGCCAAAACGGUUAGGAAGGUAGCUAGCUAGUUUUCUCAAUUCACUAAUGAUCGACCAUUCAAUCACCAUUAACUGAUCUACUUGCAUCUAGGAGAGGCCCAGUGGAGUCUGCACAAAAAAGGUUGAGUUACACAUGAAAGGGCGUACGUACAAGUUAACUGAUGUGUCAAGCUCGUGCAUAAAUUGAUCAUAAAAAACUAAAUCAAUUGUAUCGCUUUUAUUUGUCGGGGAACUAACCAAUGAUCUUGAGGGUCACCUUUGGCUCUUGUUCAUAUCUGCUCUGUAGCUCUGGAAAGCCCCGAGUAAUUGGUGUCUUUCCUUUGCCGCUGCAGUGAUUGUACUCCUAUAUAACAUUAAGAAUGCACGCACUGCAGCCAGAAGCUGGCUGCUCGCUCUGACUGCUUUCUACCAACCGCUGAGUCGAUCCGAUCCAUGAACCGUUGGCUGCCGGCAUGCAGGGAAAUUCCUUCCUUGUCUAAAAAUAUGACAGUGCCUGCUAGAAGCAGUGCAUGUCCGUUGGGGCCAUUGAUGGCCAUGUCGUAUUCUUCUUCUUCAGCACAUAAUCCGGGUGCGUAGCUAGCUGGUGGAUGGUCGCCAGUGCGUUCCCGUCGUCACGCUCCCUGACUGUGAUGUGCUCCACGGCCUUGCAGCAGCCCAACACUUGCCGAUUCAUUCACGACAAAGGAGCCAACUUGGCAUAAUUGUUGGGCAUGACCAUCCGGUUCACCGAAUUCUGUACUACUACUUGUAGCUCGCCGCAGGUCCGUGUCAUCCAGCUCCGGGCACGACUCUCUAGGUGCACGCACCGAGAAGUAUGUGUGUGGAUGGCAAGCAAAGGCUCCAGAACAGGAUCAAUGAUCUCAUACCACUUUUUGUUGCUGAGAAGGAGGUAAAAGCUAUCUCAAUGAAUGACACACUCACACGAUGAAAUGUUACAAGACACAAAAUUCUUGUGCGGCAUUCAACUAGCAGAAUUUUUGUUUUUGCUUGUCUAUUCAUUUAAUUGGCCACUACUUGAGCCGUUCAGCUACAAAUAGGAAGGGAGAAAGACAUUAGUUGGACCGAGCUUCAUGGCAAUGCCAUCCCGAAGCCACUCACUCCACAACCCCAACAUUGCUGCCGCAAUCGCUAGGCCUCAUGCCAUCCCAUAUAGUAACCACAACAGUCUACAUAUAAAGAAAUAAACCAGCAGCCAAGUCGUGUACAUACACACACAACAUGGCGCAUUAUUUGCUAGCCGAGGAAUAAAGCGAAACUAGGGUUCAUGCGAUGUUGACUAACACAGAAGACGCUGUGCUU